CUGGCUUGGAUUCCGUGGGCAUCGUCGGCGGCGAAGGUUGAGAAUAGCGAUUCCAAACUCGUGUCAGGCGUCAGUCGACUCCACCGAGGUCAGGGACGGCGACGACGAAUGGCAGCGGGCGGAGGAUGCUCUGGAGGUGGCGGACGACGUAGAUCGGCUGUGGCUCUGAGGUUUUGUGUGGGGCUUCAAUGGCAACCGUUCACGGAGUAGAGAAAGACCAAGAUGCUUCUUUUUUUUCCCCCCUUUUUCGUGAGAAGUAAAGAAGUAGGUGACAGUGAAGGAGUGAGGUAGGAAUCCGGGAAUGUGAUGCGAGAGCAGUCGCCGGCGGGAGGUAGGUACUCGGACAGAGAUGGUGGAGGUGGCUGGUCAGGUGAGUUCAGGAGAAAGGGUGAGGAAUGCUUUUUUCUUACUUUUCCAGAAAAUGCUCCCUGAAGAUGGUGGUCUCCUCCUCCUCCCUUUUCGAGAACGCCCUGCUUUUUUUUCCUUUUGAUGGGAAAUUGUGUCUUUUAAGAGAGAGCGUGAGAGAUCCCUAGAAAGAACUUCCCUUUCAGAUUCGAAGAAUCGGCUACUAGCGGAGAUGAAUGUCGAUGUGCUUCCGCAGAAUGCUUACCGUCUGGUUGGGUCACAGCUUUAUCUCUCCUGUGGAUAUCACUGUGUUCUUUUUGACCCUGACUUUCUCGAAUCACGCGACAGUGCUAAUCAAAGAAAGUCAUAGAAAAGAAAGUAAAGGUGAAUUAUUGCACGCGUAAUUUCCUCGGAAGGUGCGUAAUAUUUACGCGUAUCCUUUCUUUAUUUUCUUCCUCUGUUGGCUUGACUUGCUUUUUCUACUAAUAAAGAAAUAGAAACAAAAACCAACGAAUCAUUUCUAAGGCAUCCAGGAUGUUUUACCUGGCGGCCUCUUCGUGGGAAUCUGGCCUGGGGAAAAUUUCCCUAUUGGGUUAAUAGUAAAUCCCAGCGGUUUAUCAUUACCUCAUUUUAUGUUUGAAAUUGAGUUCGAUAAACGUAAUAGUUUAAGAUCUUGCUAAGAACUUAUCCACCAAGUAAUUUAAUAAAAAACAACAUUUUGCAUAAGGGGCAUGGAACCAUCCUGUAUAGUGCUUCUUGACUUGUCUUGCCUUUUUCAUAAAUUAAAGAAGUAAAGAAAGCUAACUAUACUCCCAUGCCCUCGGGUUUAAUCUACAUGAGUCAAUCACAAAAAUAUCGCCUCUUGGAAUAUUAUUUAUAAUGAACAACCUAACUUCAAAUUUCAAAAUAAAUUUCCCUCACUUCUCGUACUAAAUUUUUCCAUAUUAUAUCUUGCCUAAAGAUUAUUGAGUCAUCACCCCCUCACCCUAAUCACUUUGAUCUCACUCCUUAAUUUUUUUUUCAACAUUUUAUAUUUUUAAUGUCACAUUUAGAAUUUCUUAGCUAACCGAGGCCUACAAGGGGCAGCCUCUAGUGAUGGUCAAGCAAGGUUCCCUUCGCCAAACAAAUAUCGUUGAUGUCCACCAUGGGAUUUUCAAACUCGAUUACAUGCAUGCAAAUUGCUUUCAGUCAUCAUUUUUUUUUUUUGCUUCUUUCUUUUUUCUCGAUUUCUUUUAGCUUGAGAAAUUCCUCAACUUACAAUUAUUAUUCGAUUUUAUGAGCUUAAUGACUUGUUUGUACUCUCGUCUGUCAUCUUUUUUGCUUCUCCCAUUGUCUUAUGAAAUGGAUUUAACUUUGAUCCCCCCUAAUUAACUCCCCCAGGAAGAAAAGCCUUGAGACUUCGAGAAUAGAAGUCCACUUAGAAGUCCACUGGCGCCACGCAAUUGCCGCUGGGAAUCACACAGAGAAAAGGUUGAAAGUUAAAGACCCUUUUCUCUUUCAUGCACGCAAGAAAUGUCAGACGAGAAAAAACGUGAGCGGCCGUAGUCAAAGCCAAGAAGGCGAAGGAGGUUGUCGUUUUCGUGGGGUGUUAUUGCGUGGGGGUUGGUCGGUGGUAGCUUCAAUCGGCAUGUUAAAGACGACUGGAGAGAGACUGGUCAAAUCCCCGGUCAGAACUUUCAUUUUCUUUUCUCUUCUUGAAAGGAGCCCAUCACGGAUUAAUAUUACAUACGCCUUUAUUACACUGCUUGUUAAUGCGAUAGGCGAGAGAGCGAUAGAAGUAAAUGUUUGUCGAGCGACUUCUUACAGCCAUCUUUCAUCAUUCUCAUCUCUCUUUUCAUCAUCUCUCUCGUGGGAUGGUGAACAUAUAGAUUUGUGCGCUCUUCCUAGUUCCCACACAUCUCCUGUCUUCUCGACCAGUCUAGUGCAUACAUCACUUCUCAACACAUCUCUUCUUGACCCCUAUGUAGCUGGUGCCCGCCUCUCCCAAGGUUUGAAGCUUUCUGGAUGACGUGGAAGAUUGGAAUAGAAAUGGAUAUAGACUAACAAUCACAUGAGUAUUGCAAUUUCUUUCUGAAAAUCAUUUCUUUUUUUAAUCUUUUUAUCGUCUUCAGAGGAAUGAACACCAACAGUUUUAAGAUAUGCUAAAGGCAGCCCGAAAUGAUCUCGACGAGAUGAUAGUUUUAAUUAAGUUGCAUGGGGUUUUGGUUGCCGAAUACAUUAGAUGAAGAAGAGAUAUUCUCAUUGUUAAUGCUGACAAGCUUUAAUGAUAGCGGGAACCUCGACCGCGAUGAAAUCGGCAACGUUGGCUGCCAGAAGGGGCUGGACUCCUCGCUCGUGGAGGCCAACUAAGCUUCUGCUUCCCAGCCUACUCAUAUUUCUUUUGGUCAUAUCGGCCUAGUUAGGCAAAGGCAUAUUUAUCUUUUAAGAAAAGAGAUCAGUCUAUGUUAGUUUCUAUUCCAAUCCUUCAACGCCAUGCGGAAGGCUUUGAACCUUUGGCAGAGUUGGGCAGCCCGCUCCAUUGAUGGAUGAGAAGAGAUGUGUUGAGAAAAGAAGUAUGCACCAAUGUGUCAAGACCUUGUUUAUCCAGUUAAAAAGCUAUCAAUCUACGCAGUUUGCUAAAUCCGAAUUACCUGAUCAGACGUUUCUUCACUCACAUUUCAUUUUAAAUUGUAAUAUUUUUUUUCCCAUCUAGUAUUCGUUACUAAGGCAAUUUUCUUUUUCUUUCGGGAGAGGGGAGGGGGGUGGAGCUCCUUUUCUGCGUGAACAAGUUCUGCAAGAACAAGACUCAGUUGUUCAUCAAAUUUACGAAAUUAUCGCACAAGUUAUGCUCUUCAGUUAAGUAUACCGCCAUUAUUCCAUUAUUUCUGUUUACUGGGCCAAGAUCUUUACGAAUCGAAGCGAGGGAUGAACAAAUUGCUCACCCUUCUGGGGAAGGUUUUCUCUCAGUUUCCUACUUUGGCUUCUCUUGGCCUUCUAUAGCUUCUCCUUUAACUGUCUUCAAUGCCGCAUAUGAAAAUCUCAGCCUCAGCCUCAGCCUCAGCCUCAGUGGCUCUAAUAAGAUUCACUCCUUUAUGUUUGGAUUCUGAUAGAACAUAUUCUGUGAAUGCAGGCACCCACCAUCGCAGCUGCUGCAAACUUGAGAAUGGCAAGAAGGUCUCCAGUUCUCCCAUCUACCAGAUGGCAUCUAGUAAUCUUUCUCAUGCAGAGAAAUUUUCUACACUUGCUGGAUCCGUUGCAAGUGUUUUCCAUGUCUUAUGCUUUUGUCUAAUUAAUGUUUCUUAUCGGAGGUGAAGAUAGAAGAAGGGAAAAUUAUUGAUCGGAGGGACGAACCCCAACCCUCGGUUGGUAGGGGUGCUAGACAUCCUCUUCAUAUUGCAUGCUGAACAUGAAAUGAAUUGCUCAACGGUGCUGCUAGGCAUCUUGCAUUGAGGAAUUCCGCUUUCAAUGCCGUAGGUGACAAGUCCUACAAGCUAAGCGCCGACGCAUUUGCUGACGUAACCAACGACGAGUUUAAGGACCGCUAGGACUGGUAGAAAUGCUUUGUUCAGGUACGAGAAUGCAAAUGCGGUGCCCGCGGCCCUGGAAUGGAGGAAGAAAGGAGCUGUCAUGGGCAUCAAGGACCGAGAAAGUCGUUGUAAGGAAAAUAAAAUUGAUGGUUUAAUCCUACGGAUAUUCACGUUUACGUGUGUAAUCAAUGCAUAUUGCUUUUAUGUUCUAGGUCCAACACACAUGAUCGAAUGAUCGUAGCUACGUGUAGUUAGUACAUUCCGAAUUUUCCAAUAGCAUUCAUACUCUGUUUAUUUCGCGAAAUAUAGAAAAGUAUUUUAAAAAAAAUUAUCUCUUGAAAUAAUGAGUUAAUGGAAAUUCAUCAUGCACAAUAAUUAAUGUCUAAAUAUUUUCAUGAACGGUAAAAAUUUUAUUUCCUAUUUAUUUAUAUAAGUGUUAUAAACGAUCAUUUUUAAUAUAUCAUUUAUUUCCCCUAAAAAAAUGAGUCUCGGAUUAGUUGACUUUUAUGGCAUGUGUGAUUAUGCUGCCUCUCAAUUAAUCAAAUAGGAACCUGUUGGCCUUUCUCAACCGUGGCAGCCACCGAGGGCAUCCGCCAGCUACAAAGAGGGCAAGCUAACCUCCCUAUCGGAGCAAGAACUCGUAGAUUACGAUGUUAACGGCGAGGACCAAGGUUGCGAAGGUGGUCUCACGCGAUAUGGUUUUUAAUUUAUCAUAAACAGUGGAGGCCUCACUAUCGAGGCUAAUUAUUCCUACGACGGGAUAGACGGAACUUGCAAGACCGCAAAAGAAGCCUCCCACAUGGCUGAAAACCGCGGGGCACAACCCCAUGCCUGCCAACAACGAGGCCACGCUGUUGAAGCCCGUGGCAAAUCAUCCGGUGUUGGUUUCCAUUGACGUCGGAGGGAUAGUAAGUAAAAUCUGUCAAGGCCCAAGCUGGUGAUGUGUUUUAUGGGUCAAGCCAUGUUGUGUUAUUCGGGUCGAGGCCCAUACCUCUGUUUUGUGUUUUUGUAGCCCGAGGUCACCGUCUUUUGUGGUUCAAUUCAAAGAAAAAGACUAGGGUUGGAGGGGAUUUUGGAGAUUUAAGUUGAGUUACCUCGAAACAAAAGAAUACCUAAAUUAAAAGGGAACUGACCUGAUAUUGAACUCAAGCGUGAAAGGAACGAAAAUGCCAUUAAGAAUCUUAAAAGAAAGUAGGCCAAGCAACUUGACAAGCAAAUGUCUUUCAGCCUGGGCUGCACAAGUUGAUGGUUUUCCUUCGGUUCAACUUCACGACCAAUCUACACGUCUAUGACAAUCUACAGAGAUUAGUGUCUUAUGACCUAAAAGACCUUUUCUUCAACAGGGGUUUAGUGCAAUCAGCCUGUGAUUUAGUCCAAUGUGGCUGGGACCCGUAUGAGGCAAAUACUAUACAAAUUGUUUAACAUGAGUAAAACUGGCCCCGUACUGCAAACUUUGGCAUCAUCAUAAGGGAAUUCGAGAAUACUCAAUUCAUUUAAACAAAGAAUAAACCUCGACUUACCAAUUAUCUCAGAUUUUAGAUAAAUAAAUAUAAUGUUUAUUAAUAAUUGUCGUUUUGUGCUAAUUCUCGUAGAGGGACUACAAGAGCCAUCUUUGGCAGUCUUGAAACAACCAUCCACCUAAUUUAAGCCCGGUAUGCUGCGGCUUACCCUAUAUGAAGGGGAAGAAGGGAUGCGUCCUCUGAGAAUUUUUGCCGCCGACAUUUUCUCUCGAUGAACUUGUGCCAUGUCAAUAGCAUGAUAAGGUAGCCUGCAUUUCACAGCGAUUUUUACUUGGUUUCAAAUGAUGCAAGCAUGCAACGACUCGAAAGUUCAACUAGAAAUGAAGGCAAAAGAUGAACGGAAAAGGAAGGCAUGGUGAGUAAAAUCUACUGGUCAGCAGACCUCAUAGUUGCUCCCUCAAUUAAGUUGUGAUCAAUUCGACAGCAAGAGUUGCAAUCUGACACUGGCAUAGUUUUUGGUGCCAUAGAACUCAGGGCCGCGGGAGUCAUGGUUCCGACGCCUUCUAGGAGCGUGAGCUUAUAAUUUUCCUUUCAUAGUGUUUGACUAUUGGUGACUCUAGCCAUCUGACCAUCUUGCUGUACAAGCUGAUCAUCUUGAUCCAGAUCUGUUUGACUUGGACCAUCUUCCUAUGUAAGUGUAUUCUCUUCCUCUGAGUCUGUUUGAUCAUCUUCCUUUGAGUUUGUGCUAGUUCAAGACAAUCCUGAUAAACCAAAUUUAACACCAGUGACUGAUUGUCAUGAAGCAAAGACCCUUGGAUCAUUCUCUUGUUGCUUGCAUACUAGUCCAAACCCGCAGUUUCUUAGGGUGCGUUUGGCUGCACCCUGUUUCUAUUCCCAGGAACAGAAAUUUCUGUUUUGUUGUUCUUGGGAACAAAAAAGGAACAGAAACGCGUUUAGGUGCGUUUCUGUUCCUUUUUUGUUCUUUUGUUCCCAGGAACAAAAAAGAAACAGAAACAAGAAACACAAAAUUUGUGUUUCUUGUUUCUGAAACACAAUUGAGAAACAAAAAAGGAACAAAAUUGUGUUCCUUUGCUAUUUCUUGCUCCCUUCGAACACCGCCUCUCUCCCCCCCGCGACGAGCUUCUCCUCCUGCGAGCAGAGAAGUCCAUCGUCUUCUCCGGCGCCGACAGUGGCCUCUGUCUCGACAGCCGCUGCUCCUUCACCAGGUAAACGUGGUCACUGCUCCUCCUUCACCGAUUGUCUUCACUUCAGCGAGAGCCACCCCUCGCAGAUCUGGGCAAUGGCUAGUCGGAGCUCGAGUGUUAGGGCUCGCUCGAGCCAGCGCUUGCCUAGAUGUGCGAGCCGCUUGCUCGAGCGAGUCUCACAGAUCUGGGCGAGCGUUGCUCACCCAGAUCUGCGACAGCAGCUCGUCUGCUCGCUCGAGAUCUGGGAGAGAGAGCAGAGCAGCGAGCGUCGCUGCUGGUCAGGCUCGAGCGAGCAGAGCAGCGAGCGUCGCUGCUGCUCAGGCUCGAGCGAGCAGAGCAGCGAGCGUCGCUGCUGCUCAGGCUCCAGCGAGCAGAGCAGCGAGCGUCGCUGCGUCGCUGCUGCUCAGGCUCGAGCGAGCAGAGCAGCGAGCGUCGCUGUUGCUCAGGCUUGAGCGAGCAGAGCAGCGAGCGUUGCUGCUGCUCAGGCUCCAGCGAGCAGAGCAGCGAGCGUCGCUGCUGCUCAGGCUCCAGCGAGCAGAGCAACGAGCGUCGCUGCUGCUCAGGCUCCAGCGAGUGUCGCUGCUGCUCAGGCUCGAGCGAGCAGAGCAGCGAGCGUCGCUACUGCUCAGGCUCCAGCGAGCAGAGCAGCGAGCGUCGCUACUGCUCAGGCUCCAGCGAGCAGAGCAGCGAGCGUCGCUGCUGCUCAGGCUCAAGCGAGCAGAGCAACGAGCAUCGCUGCUGCUCAGGCUCCAGCGAGCCGCCCGCUGUGUGCCGGAACUGGAACCAUCGGCGACUCUUCUGCCGUGCCCAAUGGUGCUGGCACUGGUGAUGGGGAAAGGGCACGAAACGGGGCAAAUAUCUGGCCUUUGCGGGCGUUCCUCGACACCAUGAGGAGUUGCUGUUCCAACAAAUCUUUGUCCCGCGAUCCUGUUGUUCCGUGGCAAAAAAAACGACGCCCUAUCUAGGCCAAUAUCUUCCGGUGGGUAUUUUCCUAGUCUUUCUCCAUUUUAUUGAUCUAUUAAUGUCAAUCAAAGUAGUCAGCAAGAAUCAUGCAAAUGCCUGAAUCGAGCGAGCAGAGCAGCGAGCGUCUGCUCGCUUGCUUCUCCGCUCGAGCCAGCAGAGCAGCGAGCCCUGCUCUGCUCGCUCGAGCGCUCGCAACAGCAAGCAUAGAAGUUAUUGUUGCCAAGCGAGCGUCUGCUCACUGCUGCUACACUUUUCAUUGUGUGUGGACUGUCAAUUGACAACAUCGGGCAUGACAAAAUAGCCUUUUAUCACUCUCAUAGUUCUAUACAUUAUUGUUUCUUUAAUCUCAAUCUCUAUGACAUCAUGUAGAUCUAUGGAUUUGUGGCUGAAUAUAUCAAAGUGAUGUGAAUCAAUGCCGAAGUUAUUGUUAUUUAUUUUUCUGCCUUUGUGUUAAAGCUUCUCAAUUUGCGUUUUGUCCUAUAUUGCUUGGAUUUGGUUUAAUAUUAGUAUUUUCUGUGUGUCUCUAUGAACCCUUGCGGCUCAGCCACAUUUUGAUCCAAUCGGAAGUCGAGGAAGAAAAAGGAAAAAAUGGGUGUUAAAAGUGAGAAAGACAAAAGGAAGAAGAUGACGCCCAAAGAAGAGAACGUGUAGAGGGGUAGACUAAAGGGGAGGAGAAAAAUAAAAGUAAAAGAAAAGAAAAGAACAGAAAAAAAAAAAAGGCACGUGAGAAGAGAGUGGCUCGAUUCUCUCCCUCGCUCUGUUUUGUGCUGGUGUUUUUUGUGUUUCUUCUCCUCCCCUCCCCCCUUUGGGUAGGUCGCGACAACUGCUUAGUGAAAACUUUGUGCCCUACCAUGUCAUUUUUCAUAUGCAACCGCAUAUGACGUGUAGUUCAUUUAGUACAUUCUUUGUGAAUCUAUAAGAACAACAUUGUUCGACUUUUUUUUGUAGGAAUGUUGGGGAUUAUACAUUAUGCGAGAUCCUUGGUAUCUUAUGGCUAUAAUGCUUCGAUUUUUUCUCUUUAAGUUAUGGAUUUGCAGAGAAUGGAGGGUGCUGUUUCGUUGUUGGCUUAUUGCUUAUUGUCUUGAAUUUUUCUUUACUUAAGGUACAUCCUCAAUUGGUUGAUUCAUUCUCAGGUGAACGCUGAUGCUUUGAGAACUUCGGUGGAUCCAUCCAAAGUUCCGGAUUGCCGGUGCCAAUCCACGAAGACAUAUUCUUUUUCCCUUGCUUUGUCCGGAAUUUGCCAGUCCCUGCCACAUAAAUCGCAAUUUGCUGAAUUUGGAAACAAUCAUCCGCACGCUAAGGUUGGCCUCUCGGCUUUUUUUUUCAUUGUCUUAAUCUUAGAGAUCUUAUAAUUUAGUUGGACCAUUCACAAAAUAGGAUAGGGUAUACGGAUCCAUAUAGGUUACCAUGCUAAUUUUGUAUAUGGCGUGUAGUUCUUACGGUUUUAUGUUAAUGAUUUAAUUCAUAACUCAUGUGAUGCUCAACCGGUCGAAGAUUCAAUGGCAUCCGAGAGACACCCAUUCAAUGCAAAGUGGACGGAGUCUGUAACCAAUAUACUUAUCGGUUUAUUGGUGGAUGAGGUCAAAAAGGGAAACCGCACCUCUUCCACUUUCAACAAAGUGGGGUGGAGGAAUGUACAGUCUGAACUCAGUAGACAGACAGGAUUCCAAUUUACCAUGGUUCAGCUGAGGAACAAGGUAAACAAAUUGAAAAAACAGUAUGGCAGUUUUCACAAACUCAUUUCUCAGUCCGGAUUUGGUUGGGAUAAUGUCAACAAAAAAGUUAUUGUCGACGAUCCAAGUGUAUGGGAAUCUCAUAUCAAGGUAUUUCUUAACUUUUGUGGUCAUUUUGAUAUCAUUACAGAUGUCAUUUAUAAAAUGUAUGAUUAUAUUGCUGAAAUGUCAUUAUUGUAAAAAUUGUAGGAUAAUGUCGAGUGUGCAAAAUUCAUGAAGAAUGGACUUCCUCAGUAUCCUUGAGCUUUGUAUUAUUUUUGGUGGUACAUAUGCUACUGGUAAUUAUGCCGUAUGAUGUGCUCAAGAAGACCAUAUGUCGGAUGAUGAUGACAAUGGUGAUGACAAUGUACGUGGUGACAAUAGUGGUGGCGAUGCAGAUGGUGUCAAUGCAGGUGGUGACUAUGAUGGUAGCAAUGCAAAUGAUUUCAUUGGAUACCAUAGUGAUGACAGACUUUUUACAACAGACGAUACUGGAACUUCAGCUCGUGGGAAGCACAAAUUGGAUAGAACUCCAAAUAGUAGGCGGAGAAGAAAGAGCAACCAAUCCAAUUUUGCUGAAACUUGUAGAGCCAUACAAGAUUUUCUAAAAGUUAGGUCAUCAACUCCAUCUGGUGAUGGCUCUGCGAGCUCAGGGACUUCACAACCACCUGUUGACCCUUUCUCCGUAUCUACUGCGGUCCAGAUUCUAAACAAUAUGCCCGAGCUAGAGCAAGAUGUUUACAAUAAAGCAGUGGAACGAGCAUGCGUCAAUCGUGAAUGGAGGGAGGCUUUCAUUACAUGCAUACCUGCAAGGAGGAUUGGCCUUCUUCAAUUUCUUUAGUAGAUAUUUGGAAAUAUAUUAUGAAUUGCAUGGAGUUUCAUUAGAUUGUAUAACGUAUAUUAUCUAUUAAUAUCUAGUUUAUUCAAAUAUGAUUAGUGUUGAGACUCUUGUACUUAUAUGUAAUGGCAUAUCUUAUUGAGAUUUUAUGACUUAUGUUAUUAAUUGUUAUUAGGAUGUGUUUUCAAAAUCUAUAUUGAUGUUUUGGUCAUUUUUGUGAUUGUAUAGGUACUAUGGAAGGGGGAUCAAAUAGUGUGUCUAAUGAGCAAGUACAACCAGUUGAACAAUUCUCGGGUGAUGACAUUAACAUAUUGGUAGCGUGGCUCUGCUUAGGUACGAUGGAGACAUCCCUCAAUAUGAGAGAACCUAUUAGGGAUAGUCAAUUAUCGGGAGGAGAAUGGAUAAGGGAGAUUGUUCAUGGACAUUCAGAUAGGAUAUAUGAAGCAUUUAGGAUGGAGAGACAUGUUUUUCUCAAUUUAUGUGACUUAAUGAGGGUAAGGGGUUGGUUGAAAGAUAGUAGAUUUGUUCAAAUAGAUGAACAAGUUGGGAUAUUUUUAAGUGUGGUUACUCACAAUAACUCAAAUAGAGAUUUAUGUGAGAGAUUCCAACAUUCAAGAGAAACGAUCAGCAGGUAUUUCAAUAAAGUGUUGAAAGCAAUGAUCAAACUUUCAAAGGAGAUAAUCAAACCACCGUCCUUUGACGUCAUUCCACAAGAAAUUCUUAUUGAUCCUAGUCAUAAACGCUACUUCAAGGUAUGAUUUUUAUAUUGAUUUUAUACCGUGAAAUACAUGUAGUUGAUAAUCUUAUAUGAUAUUAGAUUGUUAAUAUAUUAACAGGGCUGCGUAGGUGCUAUGGAUGGCACCCAUAUAGAUGCUACCGUUCCUGUGUCUCAGCAGAUUCCAUUUAGAGGUAGGAGUGGGAGAACAACUCAGAAUGUGCUGUGUAUUUGCUCUUUUGAUAUGAAAUUUACUUUCGUGUAUGCUGGAUGGGAAGGAUCUGCCAACGAUUGUCGAGUGCUUUCAGCAGCACUCGAAAAUCCACAACUGCAAUUUCCCCGACCACCACCUGGUAUUUACUUUGUUUAUGAAGACAAUUUUAUGAUUAUAUAUUAUGGUUCAAUAUCACAACAAAUUUUAUAUAUAUCAUGUUACAGGGAAAUAUUACGUGGUAGAUUCAGGUUAUGCAGCACUUCCAGGAUUUUUAACUCCAUUUAGAGGCGAUCGGUAUCAUCUAAGCGAGUAUAGAGGGAAUGGGGGACGACCAAGGACAGCAAGAGAAUUGUUCAACAAAAAGCACUCUUCACUGAGAAAUGUAAUUGAGAGGUCAUUUGGGGUAUUAAAGAAUCGAUUCACCAUUUUGAGACAGAUGCCUCCAUUUACAAUUCGGAAGCAAGCACUUGUUGUAAUUGCUUGUUGUGCUCUCCACAAUUACAUUCGUGAUCAAGAUGCGAUGAAUAGAAACUUUUCCCUAUAUGGAGAUCCGGAAUAUGUAUGCGGACCUACAGAAUUGGAGGUUGCAGAUGAUACAUUGCAUGAUGCACCUGGAAUAAACAUGCUUAGGACAAGGAUUGCAAAUAAAAUGGCGAGGGAUCAUAAUAUGCCUGAAAUUUCAUGACUUUGUGUUUCCGACUUUUGUAAUUUUGUUUUUAAGUAUUCACUUAUCAAAUCCAAUGUGAUGAAGUUGAACAAUGAACUAUAUUACUUCAUUAUUGUGAUGUUAUGUAUGAAAGGGUCUACGUAGAGAUCUAUGAAGUAUUCUUCUUUUAGGUAGCUCUUAUUGUGGGAUUUUUACUUACGAAAUUUUGUUCCAAGUAUGCACAUGACCAUAUUCAAAAUGUUUGUCUUCACCAACCAUGAACAAAAUUAAAUUGAUGAGCAUUUCAUUAGAGUGAUAAUGCAAUACCGAGUUUACACUUUAUUGAAAAAAAAGGCACGUGAGAAAAAUUUGGAACAAAGUUUAUUUAUAAAAUUUUCUUCAAAGUAUGCACUUAUAACCAUGUUCAGAAUGUUUGACUUUACUCACCAUGAACAAAAUUAAAUUGAUGAACAUUUUAUGAUAAUGAGAAUUCAAAGUCAAGUUUACACUUUAUUGAAAAAAAGGCACGUGAGAAAAAUUUGGAACAAAGUUUAUUUAUAAAAUUUUCUUCAAAGUAUGCACUUAUAACCAUGUUCAGAAUGUUUGACUUUACUCACCAUGAAAAAAAUUAAAUUGAUGAACAUUUUAUGAUAAUGAGAAUUCAAAGUCAAGUUUACACUUUAUUGAAAAAAAGGCAUGUGAGAAAAAUUUGGAACAAAGUUUAUUUAUAAAAUUUUCUUCAAAGUAUGCACUUAUAACCAUGUUCAAAAUGUUUGACUUUACUCACCAUGAACAAAAUUAACUUGAUGAGCAUUCUAUGAUAAUGAGAAUUCAAAGUCAAGUUUACACUUUAUUUUAAAAAAAAAUAAAUGGGAAAAUUUUUGUACGAACUUAAAAAAAUUUCUUCCGACUAAGCAAAUAUGAUCAAGUUUAGAAUGUUUGUUUUCACUUAAUAUGAACAAAAUUAAAUUGAUGAGCAUUUCAUGAGAAUGAUAAUUCAAUACCAAGUUCACAUUUUAUUAAAAAAAAAACAAUUAAAAAAAAUUGGAACAGAAAUUUUGUACAUUACCAAACGUGUUUCUGUUCUUUUUUUAUUCCAGAAACAGAAAUUUUUUACAGUUACCAAACGUGUUUCUGUUCUUUUUCUAUUCCAGAAACAAAAAUUUUAUACAGUUACCAAAUGCGUUUUAUUGUUCAGAAAUUGUUCCCAGGAACAGAAACACUUUUUUCUAUUUCUGUUUCCUGGAACAAUUUUUAAACAGAAACGCAAACAAAUGCGCCCUUACUGUUCAAUUUGACGCUUUAAGACAACCCGAAAAUGACUCCGAUCAUUUCACAGGAGCUUUCUACUUCCCACAGCGUACUACGUGGAGGAUGCUUGAGCCGCACAUGGUCCAUUCCUAGUGAAUAGAAGCAUCCUACGUACCAAAUCACCUUUCGGCAGACCUUGCAAGAGAGGCUGAGCUCAACUCCCCCCUCCAAUCCAAAAACAAGAUGGACUGCUAAUCCUAGAAUUCUUCACACAUGUCCUGGGGUAUCAUGAAAGAUAUCGAAUCCUCUUUUACCAUGGAGCCAUCAUUCCAGCAUCUAUGUUCCAGCAAUUACAAUGCGCGCUUUUCCCAUGUUAUGGAAUUCCUGGUUUGCAGGUAACAUCCAUAUCAAGAUAAAAAGAAAGGUGGAGGGAGGGAGGUAUGGAGGGAGAGACUAGCCUCAUGUAACGACACAUCUUCCACGUUCAACCCUAUGUGGAGUGGCUUGAUAAAUCCGGGACUUUUUUGGCAGAGAUUCGCAGUUAGCUGCUUUUAGGAUACAUGUGCUUGAUGGAAGCUGUAGGAUUUCCAGUAAUUGCUCGCAUUUUCACACUCGCGAUUCCUAUAAAUAAUCAUGCUCACCGUCGCAUGAUGGACAGCUAGUAAGAUUGUUUCCACUUCCCAGACACAUAUGAACAUUCCUGGUUGAAGACAACAGGAAAGAUUCUGGAGGAACCUUAAUCCAGGCAUAACACAGCCCCGAGGUCCAACCAAUUCAAAUUCUAAUGUCCAAUGUCCAUAUGUGGUCAGUUAAACCCCUUCGUUUGCUACGCAAACUUGACAGGAUUGGAGCAACCUUCGAGAGUCGGGUACUCGAUGUUUCGCAACUUACAAACUCGUGCAUUUGUAGCCCUUUCUCUUCACCUGUCUAGGACUUAUUGACAACAAGAACAUGUACUUCAAUGGCCGUAUGAAUAUUGCAGCAAUUAAGAACUUUCUUAAUGUAAUCAAUAGUCUGCCCCUCGAGGAAACUGACUAUAUCGAGAAGAAUCUCCUUUGCGUAUCCUCCAGCCAGGCCAUCUUAAGCGCAUCAUUGAUGCUUUCUUUUAGGAGUUUUGAUAAGUUUAUUCAGUGCACGUCCCAUUCACCUCCUCUUCUACUGCACAAAAUGGAACCCAGACACCUCGAGUGCAAAAGGAAGGCUUUUAGCAUUAUCAUUAUGCAAAAUGGUAUUCCUUAAGAUUCCUCUUUAUUUCUAAGUUCUCGCCCCUUAGAAAAGCUACUUACUGAAAGGUUCAAGGGACUAUCAUCUAUAAGAGCUUCAACCAAAUAGAUUCAUCCCAACCUGUAAGUAAGAUGGUCCUUUUUCCCUCUACCAAACCACUCACAUCCUCCGACUAAAUCAUUUCAUCGUGUCAUGCUAUCGACAUAGGGAAGAGUAUACAUCUAAAAAAUAUGCCUACAUGGAGUAUAGAUUAUUUCACCAGUGUGUGUCUAAAAAAUUCAAUUAAUGUUUGAUAACAUCACUGAAUCCAUCAUCUGUCCUAAUUUUGUACAUAAUCAAUUACUUAUUUGAUUGGAAAAUCACUGAUAAAAAAAAGAGAUAAGUUGAAAAUAUUUUCUUUACACUUGCCAUUCUAUAAAUUAAUUGAUAAAAAACAAAAACUGAUCCUAGAUCAAUAUCGUAAAAUUUCACAAAAAAAAAAAAAACUAAAUAACUAAACGAAUUAUCUUUAAUAUCACAUCUAGGAACCAUCUAAUUUGAAAAUAUGAUUCGUACAAUUAUAGUAAAUUUUCAAUAAGUAACGAUAAUUAUUUGUGAUAAUCGUGGCGCAACCGAUUGAUAAAACUUGGAUAUACAUCGGGUCCUAAAAUUGGCGGCAGCAUUGGCGCCGUCACCACCGCAGGGUCGGCCCCUAAAAUAUCUAUUUUCUCGAGCAAACAGAUAAAAGAAGAGUAUAAGAUCAUCUUCCUUCGUGUGUGCUGUUCGCUCUCGACGGUUUCUCCGAUCUCCGGCAGAAAAUAGAGAACCUCUCUCUCUCUCUCUCUCCUUUCUCUCACUUAGAGCAGAGUCACCUGCGAGCGAUGGACACGCUCCUCUCUCCGCUGCUCUCGGCGCCUCUCUCACGCCUCCACUCCACUGCUUGUCCAGUUCAUCGGCCGCCACCAUCCGCCGGGCUUGGCCUCCUUCUCAAUCUGACUUCAGUUUCUGCGAAUCGGGCUUCUGAUCCCUGAAUCACCCGCCGUCGCCGCCGCCGGAGGCGCUCUCGCGGCCAAUCUCGUGCCGGUUCACGCUCUUUCUCUCUCGUUUUGUGUUUCUAGUACUUGGCGCUUGCGAUCGGUUUGGAAUCUCUUGAUGUUGUUUGUGCUUCGUGAUUCUUUGGUGGAAUGUAUUUGUAAUCUCUCUUACUGGCGCUGUGCUUGUGAUGUGCAACCUCGGAUCAGUUUGAGCCGCUGACGUUUGUUGAGAAGUCGAUUCUCUUGUUGCGGUUAUGAUCGUAUGACGUUGCAUUCUAGGGGAUUAGCGAGUCUCUCUCGUUCAGCAAUCGGAAAAAGUUGCUUCCUUUAGUUCACUUAGCGUUGCAAAUGACUAUACUAAGGGCCUGUUUAGUAACCAUCCAAACAGUGCUUGAUUCUGAUUUUUUGUUUCCAGAAUCAGUUUGGGAUGAGAAUUGCGUUUGGUAAAAUUUUUGUUUCCGGGACCAAAUUUGUUCCUGGAACAGAUUGGGAAGAGAAUAAAAAAAAAAAAAGUUCAUUCUUGUUCCGAGAACAAAAUUGAGAAUCAAAACUCUUCUUCUCCUCUUUUCUUCUUCUUCAUUAACUGCCAUCUCGCGACUGCCUCCCGCUGCCCACCGUCAUCUGUUGCCGCCGGUCGCCGCCGAUUGCCAGCAACUAGUCCGACGAGCUCGCUAGAGGCUCUCGUCUAGCCUAAAAAGAAAAAAGAAAAAAGAAAAAAAGAAAAAAAAGAAUAGGAGAAAAAAGAAUAAAAAAGAAAAGAAGAAGAAGAAGAAGAGUAGGAGAAGAAGAAUAAAAAGAAUAAAAAAAAAGAAGAAUAGGAGAAAAAAGAAAAAAAAUAAAGAAAAAAAUAAAAAUAAAAAACGUGCUAUAACCAAAAACCAUUACACAUUGCCAAGCAUCCGAUUGAAAGUUAAUUAUCUUUGGAAAGUUAAAUUAGUGUCUGGUCGAGUUGCAGCUCUAUCUCUCAUAUGGUUAUCACUUGUACUAAUAAAGAAAUAGAAACGAAAACCAAGAUCAUUUAUGAUGCUCCGAGUCGAUAAGCAUAUAGGGUGCGUUUGGUUCAGCAUUUGGAAAGCUCAUUGGGAAAAUGCAAAGCAGUUUAGCCUAAAGGCCUUUGAGGGAAAUGCAAAGACUGUUUGGUAAAUUCUGCUUUGAAAAGCAACUUUGAGACAAAUGCUGUUUGGUAGAAAACACAUUUACAAAGCCCCUUUGGUGAUUUAUCUAAAUAUUUUAAUUUUUAUUUGUUUAAAAUUAAAAAAAUAAUGUUUGCGACUUUUUUAAUUUAUAUUUGACAAUCAUGUUAAAGAUAUUGUGUAAACAAUUUUAUUUAUAUUAAAAUUUCUUUUUUUGCUAAAAAAUAUCAAAUGGAAAAAAAUUACAUACUCUCUUUCUAAAUUACAAGAAGAAUAUUUUUAUUACAAUAAAAAUAUAAUAACAUAUGUUUUAAAGAAAGAAGCUCAUUAUCCUUAAAACCAUAGAAUUGCUUCGUAUCGUUGAGGUAUAAACUUAUUAUGCAAGAUCUAGAGGCAGGCUCAAGUAAAAACAAAGAAGGUUGAAGAUAUUGAUUUACAUCUAAACUAUGAGCAUCACUACAUUUUGCAUCGGAUGCUUUCGAGAAACCCCAAUUGAAUGAACAGUUGGCAAAAUGAGUUAAUGUUUUGAUCCUCAGUGCCAGAACAUGACCCCAGGAUUUUCCCUAAGUAACUCUAGCGAAAACCUUUGGAAAUUGGAUUUGCCAUGGUUAUCGUGGAUCCUUUUGGCCUGUUCUUUUGCUUAGCAUGCUAAAUCCAGACGUGCGACCAAAGUGAUGGAAUUAAUUUGCAAUCUUACUCGUCUGCAAUGGGAGCCUCAACUGUCAAUUUGCGCAACGAACAAUCUAAGAUAGAGUGAAAUCAUACACAGGAGUAGAGUAACUCAAAAACCGCACUAAACCACAUUAUUAUGAUCCAUACUUAACUCUGGAAUCUUAAAUACAAAUCCAAAGCUCAACUCAUAAGGAAAAUAAGGGCAAGCAAAGCUAUUCUCUGCACUGAGCAAGGAGCAGGUGCAAUAAUUGACACAGGGCUUCAUUCCUCCUGGACUUGUAGACUACUCUGCCUCCAUGGACGAGGACAGGGACUUUCUGGUGAAUCGGGUUGAGCCGCAGAAGUAGAGCGCUCUUGUUGAGGAUGUUUUCCUCGAUGCAGUUGUAGGUUAUGCCCUUGAGCUUCAAUACAUACUCUACCCUCCGCACGAACGCAAGAAGGGGCUGACCCAGAGCCCCAAAAGCUCUACUUCCUGUGGAUUUGCCAUUCGAGCGUUUCAGGAGAAGACUGGUUUUUCUGUGAGCUACAAACUUGACAAACCACAGGCCCUUCCCGAAAAAAUCAUACAGCAUCCCAUACCCAAUCUAAUGCCUUCCAAAUCAUAAACUCUUACCCACGAACAUCAUCAGAGAUCUUAAGAAAAUCGUGCAUAAGCACUCACUGACAAACCACAACCAAAGAGGCUGACCACGGUCACGGUCCUCCAAUGCUCUCCGCACACCAGACUACCCUCGCCGACUCCGCCAGUCGCCGAAUUCACGAAGUUCCACCGCAGCAGCCGAGUCAAAACUCCCAUUCCAUCGCUCUGCUGCGCGGACCCGCUCGUCUUACUCAUCUUCACGGCCUUCAGCGGCUCCCUCCUCUUGACCACCCUCAUGUCGACACCCACAUUCUCAUCCUCUCCUCGGCAGCUCAACUCCACGGCCACGGUAUCCAGUGGCGCCGGCAUCACGACCAUCAGCUGCGAUUGCAACCUCAGCGCCACCUGAUCCUCGUCGUCGCCCGCCGUCCAGUCAAGCUCGAUCCUCCCGGGCCCCGCCUCCUGAUCCCGCGGCGACAUCGACCCCAGCGACGACCCCGACCCCGAUCCCGACGACGCCAUCGACGAGACCGACGCGCGCGUCGGAUCCUCGACGCCGGCGUGGCCCAGAUCCUCCCCGGCGCCGUACGCGAGCGCGAGGUGGAAGCUCUCGGACGUCUGGUUCCAUCCCACCCAAGACAUUCCCGAUCGGGGAUCUGCCAGCCUCGCGCGCCGCUCACCGCCCUCUCGGUCGAUCGAUCGCGGUAGUCGUCGUCGUCGGCGGCGGCGGCGGAUCGGAGGACGGCAGUCGAGCUCGCAGUCGUCAUGAGGGAGAGAGCGAUGGGGAAGGGUGCGGAGCAUGGGGGAGGGUGUGGAGAGAACGCCAGGGUUUUAGUUCUCAAAAUGGACAAAAUUGGUUUUUCAAUAAAAUUUUGAGGGUAAAAUAGGUAAUUUACUAACUUUCAUUAAAUGACCCUUCAGCAUUCUCAAUGGUUGGCUUUCACCCGAAAGCCCUUUGAGAAUAAUUGCCAAACACCCCAAAUUUUCUCCAAUGGGCUUUGAGGCUCCAAGGGGCUUUCUAAAUGUCGAACCAAACGCACCCAUACUCCCCCAACUAAUUUAACAGAAAGCAGCAUUUUGCAUAAGGUGCACAGAACCAUCCUAUGUAGGAGCUUCCAGACUUGACUUGCCUUUUCCAUCAAUAAAAUAAAUAGAAAAGAAAACUAGCAGUACUCUCAUGCUCCGGGUGCUAAUAUACAUGAGUCAAUCGUAAAACAUCGGUUGUUGGAAUAUUAUUUAUAAUGAACAAUCUGACCUUUUCAAGGGCUUCUACAAAAGCAAAUCCCAGAAUAAUUUUCCCUCACUUUUCAAACUAUUUUUUUCCAUACCAUAUCUUGCAUUGACCGAACAAAUUCGAAUCUGUUCAGGAAUUUCUUCAAACACGUAAUGGGCAGCGAGUUGGAGAGCGAAUAUGGACCUAUUCGGAGCUCGAGCUGAAACCUAAACUCAAGAGAAAUCAGCGAGCAACGUUCAAACUUAAGAAAAACCGACUCAUUCAGAUCCGACGCGAGUGAGGACUAAAGAAAUUGAGCUUGCUUUGCUCUUUUAAAAUCAAGCGGGACGAGGCAAAAAAGAAAAAAAAAAAAAAAAAGGAACGAGCACUCAAUCGCGGGGGCCCUACCUGGGUUGGCGGCCGCGGGCAUCGUCGGCGGCGAAGGUUGAGAAUAGCGACUCCAAACUCGUGUUAGGCUUCAGUCGACUCCACUGAGGUCAGGGACGGCGACGACGAAUGGCAGCGGGCAGACGAUGCUCUGGAGGUGGCGGACGACGUAGAUCGGCUGUGGCUCUGAGGUUUUGUGUGGGGCUUCAAUGGCGACCAUUCACGUAGUAGAGAAAGACCAAGAUGCUUUUUUUUUUUUUUUUCCUUCUUUUCGUGAGAGUAAAGAAGUGGCUGACAGUGAAGGAGUGCGGUAGGACUCCGGGAAUGGAAUGCGAGAGCAGUCGCCGGUAGGAGGUAGUCGGACGGAGAUGGUGGAGGUAGCUGGUAAGGUGAGUUCUGGAAAAAGGGCGGGGAAUGCCCUUUUUCCCUUUCUAGAAAAAUCUCCCUGAAGAUGGUGGUCUCCCCUCCCUUUCCGUGAACGCCCCGCCUUUUUUCCCCCCUUUUAUUAUGGGAAAUUGUCUCUUUUAAGAGAGAGCGCGAGAGAUCCCUAGAAAGAGCUGUCCUUUCAGAUUCGAAGAGGCGGCUAUUAGAGGAGAUGAAAGUUGAUGUGCUUCCGCAGAAUGCCUACUGUCUUGGGUUGCGGCUUUAUCUCUUAUGUGUAUAUCGCUUCGUCCUUCUUGACCGUGACUUUCUCGGAUCACGUGCAGUGAUAAUCAAAGAAAGUCAUAAAAAGGAAAACUAAAGGAUAAUCUAUUGCACGCGUGCAUAAAAUUUAUGCCGCAUCCCUAUUUUUUAUUUUAUUUUUCUUUCUUGUUUUGACUUGCUUUCUUUACUAAUAAAAAAAUAGAAACGAAAACCAACCACAAUUCCAAUACUCUGAAUCGGUAAGCAUAUUCUCCGCCGAACUAAUUUAAUAAAAGGUAAAUAGUGAUAGAAAAGAAAACAAAAGGACAAUCAAUGCACGCGUAAUUAAGGUGCGUGGAACCUGCUUCUUAAGUUGACUGGCCUUUUUCAUUAAUAAAAUAAAUAGAAAAGAAAACUAGCUAUACUCCCAAGCCCCCAGUGCCAUACAUGAGUUAAUUGCAAAAGCAUUGCUUGUUGGAUUAUUAUUAUUUAUAGUGAACGAUUUGACCUCUUUUUUUCCAUCAUAUGGGAUUCUAGACAAGUAAACCCCAAAUCACUUUGACCUCACUCCUUAAUUAUUAUUAUUUUUUCGACAUUUUGCAUUUAUUUUAUACUUUUAAUGUCACAUUUAGAAUUUCUUAGGUAAAGGGUUAUCCACGGUCAAAUAACUAUUUAGGGAAUACUUUUUUUUUCCUUUUUUUUUCAUUUUUGUCAAACCUUUUAUUCCACAUUAACACUCUAUUUUCUUAACUUCUUAGUAAAGAUUAUCACUUAUUCAUCUGAAGGUGUUUGUCAUUAGUAAUCGGAUAUUAUGAAGGGGNNNNNNNNNNNNNNNNNNNNNNNNNNNNNNNNNNNNNNNNNNNNNNNNNNNNNNNNNNNNNNNNNNNNNNNNNNNNNNNNNNNNNNNNNNNNNNNNNNNNUGAGAGAGAGAGAUGUGUGGGCGUGAGAGAUGUUGCCCGAGGGGGGAGGAAAAUUAAAAGAAAAUAUCCUAUGACCCAAAAUUCUUGAUCCCAUUUGCUGUUGUUUAAUUUGAAUUGGUCCCCAAAAAUCCCCAUACUAAAAUACUUGAUCCUUAUUUGCUUUCUCGUACCAAAUUUCCCUUAAACGACAAGUCUUGGGUAACAAAAACGGCAAUUUCCUUUGAUUCCAAAUUUUAUUUCAUUUUUCUCGAAAUCCGAUUUUCUGAGCAAACAUCUCCGAUUGAGGUCUAAUUUGUUGAGAACAAAGCCCAUAAAAAUUCCCUUUUCACUAAUUCACUUACACCAAAUGCCAAAAAUUCCUUAAAAUUGGUUAAUCUGAAUUUCUGUUCAUUUUUCGAAUUGUCUAGAUCGAUUUUCGGUAAAAAUCUUGAACUCUCUCAAAAUUCCUCGAAAGAUGAGUCGACGUUCCUAAUAUGACCUGUGACAUAACAUAACUUUCAAUUUCUGAAAUCGAGUUUAAAUUCGCAGUAAAUUUCAAUUCGGCGCAAUUUUAGCGUGACCUAGGCUACCGGGUAGCUUUCAAAAUUUUUUAAUGCAAAUGACUCGUAAUCGAUUUUCUUCGAACCACAAUGAACCCAUUCAACACAUUGACGACUCUCGGUUGUCGUAAAAAUAUCGAGGUUUCGAUUACAAACACAUGGUACCAAAACGAUAAAAAAAUCAAGUUAGUAUCGAUCGACGAGAAUUUUACAAUUUAGUGGAAUCACCUACGUUUAACCACAUAUCUCAGUCAAAUCGACAUAUAUCUUAUUUCUAAUUGAUCUUUACUGUGUCAUAAUGAUCUCAACAGAUGAGUACAGUCGAGUAGCCGAUUUCUCGUCAAAUUCUCAAGUCUAUUGCUUUAAAAUUUCGUAAUGGCUUUCCUAGAUAGUCUAGUUAUCUCAAGAGUGAUCAGCUUUGAAACAGCUAUAUAGGCGCAUCGAUGAAAUACCAGAUUAAUUUAAUUGAAAGUAUAAGUGAAAAAUCCAAAAUGUCACAAUAUAUUUAAGGUCUAUCUUGUGAUUAUGUUCAACCAUUUUGUAUAAUGAAUUGAGAAGAACUUCAAUAAUAAAUACAUGAUGCGCAAAUCUCUGGUCCAUUGAUUUUGCAAAUUGGCUCUGCCAAUUCAUUUUAAUUAGAGUAAAGAAGGGCUAGUAUUAGAUCAAGGAUAGUUUAGUUGGAAUAUAGAUAGUGUAAGAGGAUGAUCAUCGAAGAGUGUCAAUUAAAUUUAGAAUCACCACAAAAAAGAGGUUUUUCAGCGCAAGGGACAAGGUCAUGAUGUUAUACGACGCGCUAGGGAUGUAUGGUGUGGCAAGCAAAUCAAUUUCUAAAUUUUAGCGUCAACUAAGACGAUAAAUAUUUCAUACGACCAAUUUGAUUGGCUGGUCACAUCAUGUCAGUUGUUGGCGAUCUAACUAUUGAAUGAAAUAUUUUUCUCAAACAAGGGGAUAGUCCCUUGAAAAGUUUUCGAAUGCUAGAACUCCCAAGCUUGCGAGAACUUUGAGAAAAACCUACUCCCUUUGAAGAAAUGCUACUCAUUGUCACCCAAAAUCGCAAGGACUUUCUAGUAGGUACUACUGUUGAUAUGCACUUUAUAGUUACUAAUUUCCAUACCGUCACUUAAGAGUUCGAUGAAAGAUUUUACUAUGCUAUUGGAUAAUUCCUAAAUGACAGGAUCAUCAAGAUAUAAACUCUACAAUAAAACUACUAACCUUAAAAGAAAGUUAUUAACUAUAAGUUACUAUCUACAGAUAUAGUGAUGAUCAUGAGGACUUCUCAGGACUUACGACCGUUGGAAAAAUAAUUACGAUGUACAAAUACUAUCAUUUACAAAUAAAGAGGAUAAUUACUGUAUCAAUGGAGAAUUAAAAAAUGAUGACACCCACGGAUUAAGAAUAACGAAAGGGAUGUUCGUGAUGGAAAGUUAAUAAUCGUAGGUGCAGUAUAACUUUCGAGGAUUUCAAGUGAUUUACACUUGUUUUGGAAUAUUUACUGAGAAAUUUCGUCAUUUAUUAUAACUAUUUGAUGAAAUUUACUAUAUUAACUUUAAGUUUACUAACGACUAAGAUUAACACACGGGUAUAACAAAGAUUAUUUUUGGCAAUAAGCAAAGAUUGACAUACGGCUACAACUGGAUUAUGUAUAGAAACACAUAAGCAAUGCUGCAAACCUUUUCUACUUCUUGUGUACUUAUCUUUAUCAUUAUAGAUAAGUACACAAGAAGUCGUAAAACUUAUUACAAAAGUACAAUCAAAUCUCAAAACUUUUAAAAAGUACGAUCGAAUUUUAAAACUUAUUCAAUCAGUGCAAUUAAAUACUUUUGUUAGCACAAUCUAGUAUGAGUAAUGAAAAAUGCCGGCAUGUAUAUAUUAAUAUAAUUUGACUGCGCAUGCUGGAGAUACUUGAGCCGAACGUGAUGCCCCACUCUAAUGAAUUGAAGUGCCUCGUGUGCCAAGUCACCUUCUCUCCAUUUUCAGAUAUAUUGAAUCUGACAUGAGAGAUUGAAACCAAACACUAUCUCUUACUUCAACAACAUCAUGAAUGUCCUGGGGUAGUAGGAAACGUACGCCAACCCCUAAUUUGUUUCGCCGGCUUAACGAUUGCUUCCUCAAGACCCAUUUAACUUGUUUCGCUGUCAUUGGCUUUCACUUCCUCCAUUAAGCACGGAGAAAUUUCCUCAAGAAAUCUCUCGUCCCCAUUUCAUAAAUUGAAGCUGCAUCCACUGAUUGAUGGUCUCUAAGCACAACUUUCAAAUCAUCAUCCAUUCGCUUGCAUCUUAGCACAUAUCCCACCUUUUCCACGUUUCCACCCGACACUCUGAGUGUAAGGCUAAAUUGUAAGUAAUCCUUGUCAAAUUCAAGAAAAUCAAUUGCUCCCUCCAACACUCCCCACAGCACAUUUGGUUCAAGAUAUUGAAUCCACAUUUGAUAUGAAUCAAAUGAACCAAGAGAUCCUGAUAGCACAUUUCGUUUUUGGCUGUUAACAUGGGGCACGAUGUCGAAAAAUAUUUCCUUUUCUCCAUCUUCUACAUUGAAAACAACACAGAGAGCUAAUCCUUGGAACUUAUUAUAAAAGUCCUGUGAAACCAAGAAAGUUAUGGUACCACCUUCAACAAGGAUGAACUCCUCUGGCAUUACUCUUUUAGGGAGAACAACUCUGUAGGGAAAAAAUAUGGAGUAGCGAUACUUCUGUUAUAAGGGUAAAUUGUCAGAGGUACCCAAGUUGGUAAUUAGCUGAAAUUGAAGAGUUUAUUUUGAGAAUCUUUCUUGUAAUUCAACCAAAGCUAGAGUUUUAUAAUAAUUGAACAUAUUGAUCCUUCACUUGCGAGUGUUGUAGCCACCCCUAUAAAAUGUAAGUGCAGAAUCGCUUUAUGUUAGAUUUGCUUGUUUGUAUAGAAUUUUCAGUUCUUGCUUUAUACAAACGGAGUGCGCCCGACAUACGCUCCAACAAAUCAACACGUGCACUUAGGAAUGCGCGCGCACCCAGAGAGAGAGAGACAGAGACAGAGACAGAGACAGAGACAGAGACCUCAACUGAGAAGCCAGGCCUGAUCCUCUCGUCUUCGUCUUCUGAAAUAUCGUAUUCUGAAAUAUCGCAAUCUGAAAUAUCGUCUUCUGAAAUAUCGCAAUCUGAAAUAUCGUCUUCUGAAAUAUCGUAGUCUUCUGAAAUAUGGUCGUCUUCUUUAGUUAUACGGUCUUCCACUGACUUGUUAUCUUCAUGGGCUCGCCACCGCUAUAACAUAUAGGUGCAAAAUCACAAUAUAUUAGCUCGUUUUGUUUACUAGCAUUUACGGCUUUUGCAUUAUACAAAAACAAUGCACCCAUAUCAAUCAAACACACACACCCCACAAUCGCGGGGAAGGAGAGAAGGGGUGGGGGGGGUGGGGAGGACCUGAAAUGAGAGAUCGGCCGAACUUUCUUCCUCUCUGGUUGUUUCUUUAUACCCAUGCCGAAUCUCAUAGAUCAAACUCGGAUUUGGCAACUCGUUGUCUUGAUACAAGGACUUCAAAUCGUCCUCUAGUGGCUUGCAUAUUAAUCGAAAUCCACACUUUUUUAUAAUUGUAUCACCCGAUGCUCUAACACCAAAUUGGAAGGAACUUAAGUCAAUUGGACCAAAAUCGUCUACUGGCCAUAGCUCCUCUCUUCCAUAAGAAAAAAGCCACACAUGAUACGAAGUCGAUUGAAUUGAUUCGUCUGUAUAUCGAGAUUGAUGGGUACCAUUAAUGUACGAAUUGAUUUUCACUUUUAAAAUUCGUUGCCCUUCCUUUACUCGAAUUACAAGGCAUAAAACGAAUGUCAAGAACUUAUCAUACAAAUCCUUUGAAGCCAUGAAAGAUAUAUAACCCUCUUUAUUCGGGAGCAACCAUCGCGGCAUCUCUCCUCCAGGUGAGAUAAAUGUUGCCAUUUGUUUCAAAACAAGAUUACUGUCAUAGAUGUAAAUCAUUAGGACAGUAUUUUGAAUUUAGCACUUGAAAAAGAGGAGUUCCAAUGAGUUAAGUGGGUUGGCAAGUUUAGCUAUAGUUAGCAAUACAUGUACAUGUCUCCGUAUUAAUAAGAGAGAGAGAGAGAGAGAGAGAGAGAGAGAGAGAGAGAGAGAGAGAGAGAGAGAGAGAGAGAGAGAGAGAGAGAGAGAGAGAGAGAGAGAGAGAGAGAGAGUCUGACCUUAUUAUGGACCAGAUUAGGAGAUAAUAAGUAAAUGUUGGAGGGAAUUUUACUUAGAGAUUCACAACUCGUUGCCCACAAUUCCUGCAAUUUUUCUGGAAUCUUGCCAAUCUCUUGUAGCUGAUGGCAUUCCUCAACACUCAAAUGUUGUAAAUUAUAGAGGUGCUCACAUGUGGGAAGCUUAGCAAAAUUGUUUUUGGACAAACACAAUUGUCUUAAGUACGGAAAACAUGAAUGAUUCUCUAAGAACUCUACGUCAUGUAGAUUGCAUCCCCCAAGCAUUAAGAUCAGCAGCUUAGGAAAUCCCAUCUUGCUAUGUAGAUCAGUCAAAUCCUCUUCCUUUUUUGGAAACUUGAUUAGUUUUGAACAACCAUCAAGUAUCAAGCUCUCAAGAUUUGGCAACUUAUAAAUGCUAGAUGGGAGGUUUGCCAGUUUCUUGCAAUUAAUUAAACUCAAAUUCUCCAAAGAGACAAGAUUUUCUAUGGAUGCAGGAAGUUCAUCAAUCGAAGUCCCUCUUAAAUAAAGUUCUUUCAAGCCUUUGAUUUUAUUUGGAAUAUUAGGAAAUCUUUGCAACUUUGAGCAAUCGGUAAGAUUGAGAAUUUGAAGAUUCUUGGAUUGGAGCACAUCCGGGAGAUGAUGAAGGUUAGAGCACCCUUUUAGAUUCAACAACCGUAACCUGGUGUGAUGUGCAACUGAUUCAUGAGCACACUCCAAAUUUUUGCACCCACGGAGAUAUAGUUCCUCAAGAUUUGGAGUCAAAUUGAGGUCUGGCAUACAAACCAUCGACGGACAUUCACUAAAAUUGAGGAACUUCAAAUUUUUAAAGUCCUGCAAGAAACAUCCAGACGAAAAAAAAAAGUGAAGAUAAAAAUAUUUAAUGAAAAACACUUUAUCAUCAUUCAAGCCCCGUGUGAUCAGAUAUUAGUUGAUCAUAUGAUGUAUAUAGAGCACUCUCUCUCCCUUGGCCAAAAGAGAAGAUCAAAAAAGAAAACACUAGUCAUUCCACCUGAGGUCUAUCAAGCGACAUACAAGAGAAAUCAUUCCAAUGCCAAGUGGCGUGGCCACUUCUACUAUCUAUAUGUUCAGAAACAAUACAUGUAAUUCAUGGCAUGAAUUUAAGCUAACAUAGGUGGCACUUGUGAAUAGAAUAAUAGGGAUAGAAUAUAUUUUCUUGAUCCGUGAGUCGGUUUAUACUUUUUAGGAUUGCUUUAGUCUCAACUACAAUAAUAGGGAUAGAAUAUAUUUUCCAGAAAAAUGCUGCCUGAAGAUGGUGAUCUCCUCUUCCUCCCUUUCCGAGAACGCCCUGCCUUUGUUUUUUUUUUUUUUGCUUUUUUUAUGGGAAAUUGUGUCUCUAGAGAGCUUGAGAGAUCCCUAGAAAGAACUUCCCGUCAGAUUCGAAGAGGCGGCGAUUAGAGGAGAUGAAAGUUGAUGUGCUCCCGCAGGAUGCUUACUGUUUAAUCGGGUUGCAGCUUUACCUAUUACGUGUAUAUCGCUUCGUUCUUGAAAAUGACUUUCUCGAAUCACGCGGCAGCGACAAUCAAAGAAAGCCAUAAAAAGGAAAACCGAAGUUAUUGCACGCGUAAUUUCCGCAUCCUUAUUUUAUUUAUUUAUUUUCCUUUCUUGUAUUAACUUGCUUUCUCUACUAAUAAAAAAACAGAAACGAAAACCAAUCACGAUUCUGAUACUCUGAGUCAGUAAGCAUAUUCUCCACCGAACUAAAUUAAUAAAAAGCAGAUAGCGAUAUAAAAGAAAACAAAAGGACAAUCAAUGCACGCGUAAUCUCCACAGCAUUUUGUGGAAGGUGCGUAGAACCUGCUUUUUAAUUUUGCUGACCGUUUCCAUUAAUAAAAGAAAUAGAAAAGAAAACUAGCAAUACCCCCACACCCCUGGUGCUAAUAUACAUGAGUCAAUAGCAAAAACAUCGCCAGUUGGAUUAUUAUUAUUUUGAUAUCCAAAGAACUCCGUACAGCCGGUAGCCGGCGAGUAAACCUAGGGUGACGCUAGCGGAUGACCUACUACCUCAAUGUCACACUUAAAACACCAAAUACCUCCACUGGGUUGGGAAAGGAUCAAUGGGGUUCUUGAGCCUGUUUGGUUCGACUUUUGGGGAAUGCAUUUGCCAAAAUGCAAAUACCUUUGGGUGAAUGGGGUUUUCCAAAAUGCAAAUAUUGUUUGGUAAAAUUUACAUUGAGAUACAAAUUUGGCCAAAAUAUUGUUUGGUAAAAUUUGCAUUUGUAAAUGACUUUUAUUAAAUUAAAAAAACAAAAAAAAAAUAUUUUUUCUUUUUUGAAGUCCGGUCGUCGGAUGGCCAGAUCUGGCAGCCUAAGGUUGCGUCGGUCGCCCGACCCCGGCGACCGUCGCCUGAGGUCGCGCGAUCUCAGGUGGCUGCUUGGGUCGCGCGAUUCAGGCAACGACUGGGUCGCGCGACCCAGGCGUCACCAGCGAUGGUCGCCGGCACACGCGACUCCUUGGCCGGCAGUCGGCAGCCUCCGAUCGACUUCUCCAUCGGAGAGAUGAACAGUGAUGAAUAGUACCAAAGUUGCAUUCCGAAAAUGCAACUUCCCAAUGGAUCUCUACCCCUCCAUUCCCCCCAAAGGCCUUUGAAGCCCCUUGAAGAUACAAUUGCAUCUUCCCAAAGUCCUCAAAAAAUUGAACCAAACACCACAGCAUUUUGCCAAACACCUUUAAAGCCCCAAAGAGCAUUCCAAAUGCUGAACCAAAUAGGGCCCUUAUCCAGCGGAGCCACCACAGCCAGUGGUCCGGUUGGAUUAUUUAUAAUGAACGAUUUGACUCUUUUUUUUCUGUUAGAAGGGAUUCUAGACAAGCAAAUUCCAAAAUAAAUUUUCCUUACUUUUCAAACUAAAUUUCUUUAUACCUAUCUUGCCUAAAGAUUAUCAAGUCAUCCCACUUUAGCCAACUCACUUUGAUCUCACUCCUUAAUUAUUUUUGUUUUUGACAUUUUAUAUUUAUUUUAUACUUUUAAUGUCAGAUUUAGAAUUUCUCAGCUAAUGGAUUAUCUGUGAUCGCAUAACUAUCUAGGGAAUGCUUUUUUUCCUUUUUAUUUCAUUUUUGUCAAACCUUUUAUUUUAUGUUAACACUCUGUUUUCUUAACUUCUUAGUAAAGAUCAUCACUUGUUCAUUUGAAAGUGUUCGUCAUUAGCAAUCGGAUAUUAUGAACCGACUAUAAUUAUAUCGGCUUUAUCUUCCGAUAAAUACUGGAGCUUUAUGACUUUGAAUAGCAAUGACAUAUAGAGGAUUCAUGGAAUUGAAACUUCUGCUUCAAUGUCCUAGUGAUAUUAUUUAGUGUAUGUAUAGCUGCCUUUUGACGACGUUCUCAUGUAGGAGCUUUUGGACACUUUUUGCCAAUAAAAGGAUUGCGAGAGGUUGAGAUAUUUAUUUUGCAUGCAUUAUAGUUUGACUGGUGGAUGAUUUUGAGAGAACUUGCAAACUAGGAGUGAUUUUGAGUGUUUUUAUUUCUCCACUCAUAUCAAAUGAGAAAUAUUGAGUCAUUUGAUAUAAAGUUUGUGCGUUCUCUCUUGGGUUGAACCACUGAAUUCAUCUAGUACUAUUAUAUAUUUUGAUGCUCUAUAGAGGGCCUUAUGAAGAGUUGACAUGUGGCUCAUUUAAUGGUUGCCACCUCGCUUUCAUUUUCUUUAAUUUAUUCAUAAUUUUUUUCUCUUCAUUUCCAAGAGAAGGUGAUAAGUGUACCUAGCCAUUAACUCAGCGUAUAGUAUAAUAGACUUUCUUUUUUUCUCAAAGACUCGUUUGCCUUUAGGGGAAGCUCAACUUUAUCAUUUGCAAUGUCUUCUCUGCAGAUUUCUUUUUCCAAAGCCAUGCUUUAUGAUCCAUCACUUCACAAAAAUGUAUAUCUGAAAGCACAUCCAACAAGACAUGAAUAAAGGCAAGUGCAAAAAGAAGAACAAAUUUUUCGUAGAAGAACAAAUUUUGCGUGAAGUCAGAAGCUACAAUCAGUCAAUUCUAAUCCAGAAAAUACAGCUGAAUGAGGCAUAAAGUCUCUAGCUUGUUGUGUGCAACCAUCAACAAUUCACAGCUUCACGAGAAAGUAUAUCACGGAUCUGUCAAACGAAAUUCUUAAAGUGACCACAAAGAAUUAUGUGUCGUAAACAAUGCAUUCCCUAAAAGGAAGACAGAGAAAAGGCAUGGAUGAAUUGCUAAAUACUAAAAUCACUUCAGAUAAAGUUCAGAACAAUAGGUAAAAAAAAAAGGGCUUUUGCAUCUGUGCACUACAGAUUCUUAUGCAUCAGCUCAUCCUCGAUUGAACAUUACAGGGCCUUUUUAAUAUGUAAAAUACCGUUGUUAUCAAUUGUCAUCAAAUGUUAAUUUCAGCGUCUGUCUGCACAUAGGAAUUAAUUAUACAGUAUCGCAUUGGGACACCAUAAUGUCCCACUCUCGACCAUGUACAUCCGAAGCAAGGGUUGUGAUAGUAAAUUGGUAAAAAAAGCAUCCGAAUGGAACUUUGUACUUCAUCAAAGGGGAAAAAAAACUACUUAAAUUGGAAACGGAACCCCGACUGAUUACAGCAGAACCUCCUUCCCCAUCAUAGAAUUCACGUCGGGUACCAAGCCAGAGCAUCUCGAGUUUUCAUAAUCGCGGAACUCCUUGACUCAACAGCAAAGACAUUCCAGCCUAAAAGCUUACCUUGCUAUUGAGGAAGCUAACAAUCGAUGCGGGAUAGAUUAAUGCUCCCUCUCACAUGCAAAAACAAAACGGACGGGAGAUAGAACAGGGAACAGAAAUGCGGAAUAAGAUGAGGGAGAACCACAUGUAGAAUUUAACAUUAAGUUGAGCAUGAAGCAGCUGAAAUUUGAAGCCAUACUACACGCACAUUACGUGUAUCAGUCAGGCCAGGAUGAACCGAUUUGCAGCAAUAAAAGUUCCUGAAUCAGGCACACCGCUGAAUUUUAACACCACUCUCCGGCCAAACCGUACGAAUCAAACAUCGAGAAGCAGAACCGAACGAGGGACGAGUUCCAGCGGAGCUCCAACUUCAACAGAAUAAUCCGAGCGCCGCGACUAACAAGGUUGACUUUAGACAGCGCCGUAACGGUCGCAUGCAACGACAAACUCAAUCCUAAACGCGUCUUCCAAAACCAAAAAAAGAAAAAGAAAAAGAAAAAAACACAGACAUCGAUCAUCGUCCCGACCGCACCGCGUCGCGAAGCACGGCCUCUGGGAAGCCAAUGCGAGUCCUCUCGCCACACUCCAAACACUACACAUGACACCGGAGACCGUGCGAGGUCAACGCGAGCAUCUAGAGAGGGAGCUGCGGGAACUUACGGGAUCGAUCAGGCGGCGGCGGCGGCGGCGGCGGCGGCGGCGGUAGGAGGAGCGGGAAGCAUGGAGCUUGGGGGAAGCGAGGAGGAGAGGAAGAAGAAGAGAUCGCGAUCCGGAGAAGGAGGAGAAGCCCGGUUCCGAAUUUAAUAACGCGUCGCCAUAGGGAGCGGAUGGCACGGUCUCACCGACAAUCGCCGCAUUCCGGGGACCACCGACGGUCCCGACCAGGUCACGGUUCGAGCUUUUAGGGUAGAACGGUCCACUUACGGACGGACCAGGCGACGGUGGCCUGUCCGCGCUCGGAUCAGUUGGCCGGAUACAAUGUGGGGUCCGCAUGUGAAUUUUUCUACGCUUACGAGAAAGUGUCGCGAUUUGCCUCUGGUCCAUAGACACGUGUCUGCUUAGAAGAGUUUCUGGACUUCGAAAGGGUUAUGAUUAUAAUUGAUAUCGACGCUACAUAUUUACCUAUAAUAAUUUUUUAAUAACUAAAAAUUCAAAUCUGAUAUAUAUGAUAAAUUUAUCUUUAAUUAAUUUAUAUUAUAUUAAAUUUAAUAUAAUAUAAAUCUCAAAUUGGUAUAAGACUUUGCAAUAUGAUAGAAAAAUCAAAUAUAUCAUAAUUUUAAGUAUACAAAUUUGAAAUCUUUGAUGACCAAAAACUUAAUUUAAAAUAAAUUUAUUACAAAUUAAUCACUUUGUGGUUUUUUUUGUAGUAUUAACUGUUAUGGUCAAUGGGCAAUUUGUCUUCAACGACAACAAAAUAUGAUUAUAGCAUUGAAAAAAACGGCGCGUGGGAUUAACGCUUGCGCACGAGCGUGCGGGGUGGUCGUUGCGCUGAAGUGGAGUAGUCAAUGGAAACUUUGUUAAUGGGGCUUCUUGUGUUGUUGGUUGGUUGACUCUCUCUCUUUCUCGAUCGCUAUCGUUCGCUUUCGCUUUGAUCCAACGGACCGGAAGAGCGCGGGUGCUUGUCGACGGACGGACCAUGACCGCUCACGGGAGAAAAGGACGGCGACGUUUCGGGGUAGUGUCUGCGCUUGACUGUUGAUGAAAUUAAACUAUCAUUUUGAUACGAAAAUACGAGAUUUAAGCAGUGGGGCAAAAAAAAAAAAAAAAUUUCCAACAGAUGAAUAACGUGCACGUUCGAUGGUUAGUUACCUUAUAGUCAACUUAUAUUUAUCUAACAACAAAUAUAUGAAAUUGCGCCUUGUAGUAGUGAAAAGAAUAGAAGGUCUUCGGAAUAUUUUGGCCAUACUCACGAAGGAAAAGACCUUAUGAAAUUGACGAAUUCAAAAUGCGAAUUGCACUCUCAUGGACGGGCAAAGCGAUUUGUUGAAAGAGUAGAUGGCAAUAUAUUUGUAAAGUUUAAUUUAAUCGAACUAUGCUAAUUAAUCUUACAAGACUCCAAGUAGACAUUGAACGGAACCGAUGAUUGACAUGACAAUAUAUUUCCUGACAGCUAGAUACAAAUGGAAAAUGAUACGCUGCGAAUCAAUGAUCUACACGUGCUUUCGAUUAUAUGAUGUUUGUAGUCAUUGCAUUUAGGUGGCAUUUUGUGAAGAAUUAAGUUUUAAUCGGCGGGAAACAAAUUAGCAAUAAUCAAAUUUUUGUUGAAUGAUGCUGACCGAUGUCGUAAUGAAAAGAGAAUUUCUCAUGAAUCAUAUGUACAAGUAGAUUCAUUUAGAUGGAUAGAGGGGGAAGGAAAAAAUACAAAUAUGUAUAAUGAAGUGUAAAUUCGUUAGUAACUAGUAAUGUGUCACAUUGAUUAAAGGGAGCACUAUGAACUAUAGUUAGUAUAGGGUCCAUCACAAUUUAAGUGCAAUCAAUUGUAGGAUUAGAUUGACCUAUCUAAGUGAAGUCUAAGUCCAUUUAUUUAAGAUAGGAUAAAGAUAAGAUAUCCUAGGAAUCACAAAUUCAAUUACUAGGGCCGUGAAUGCUCAACCGAGAACACCCCUUUUUGUUCCUCAUAUAUUAAAUUUCAUCUAACAGAAUUACUAUAUUAAAUAACUUAUUGACAUAUAAAUACUUAAGUAAAUUAUAUAGAAAAUUUAUCAAAUAACUUAAUAUAUUAACAUAAUAGGUACUUGAGGAUCUUGUUAAUGAGUGCUCAUUUAUUAACAAUACUUUAUUUGGAAUAAUGCAAUUUCCAAGCAUUAAAUGUGCAUAAGACGUGAACUACCAGUGUAUUCAAAAUUGCAAAAUUCCCUUAAUUGGUUGCAAGGCACUUGUUAACAAAUCAUCUUUGAAAAGGUACCUUCAAACUCGUUAGCAUGAGCUGAUGAAUAAUUACUAAAAAUAAUAAUAGCUCCAAUUCCACCUCUUUUUUUCUUUGACACUUUAACUAAACGAGGGACGCUCACUACUCAUGUUUCUUCUUGUAUUUCACCCACUCAUCCUAUCAUUGAGUCCAGCUCAAAAAUUUUCAAUUAGUGACGCCACUUUUAUCAUAAUUAAAUAAAAAGCACACAUUGAAUUAUUUCUCGCGGCCGUCGCCGAGGUCGCGCGACCCCGGCGACCCCAGGCGGCGGUCGCCUGAGGUCGCGCGACCCCAGGCGACCAGAUCCGGCCGCCGGAUCCGGCGGUCCGGCCGUCGGAUCCGGCCAUCCGGCCGCCGGAUCCGGCGGUCCGGCCAUCGGAUCCGGCGGUCUGGUGGCCGGAUUUCCAAAAAGAAAAUAGAAUUUUUUUUUUUGUUUUUUUAAUUUAAUAAAAGUCAUUUACAAAUGCAAAUUUUACCAAACGGUAUUUUGGCCAAAGUUGCAUUUCAAAGUAAAUUUUACCAAACGAUAUUUGCAUUUCGGAAAACCCCAUUCACCCAAAGGUAUUUGCAUUUUGGCAAAUGCAUUCCCCAAAAGCCGAACCAAACGGGCCCUAUAUAUUUAUUUGCUGAUGUUCGUUCAUGCAUCGUUAUCCUCUUAUUCAGCCAUCUGAAGAUACUUUCUGCCAAACCGCAAUUGAGAAGAGAUUUGGUUCUCACGGCUUGUGCAGAUCCACAAAACCACAUCUGCAAAGUUUCAUAUGUUUCGUGACACUCCGACAAUUCUCAAGGCGUUUAAGGGUUAAAAAAGAAGCGCUGAUUUAUAGGAAAUACCCACCUCAAUAGACAUUUAUUCAUCACUACAAAACUGGGAGAAGUGAAUAUACAACCCAUGGCAGCUUAGCUUACACUAGAACAAAUGACGAGCCGUUUUCUCAAGAACCGUGUGAACUUCCACGUGUUAACUAUAGGAGCUUGCGCUGUGUACACAAGCAGUGCAAACAAACCCAGUGGCUCUCUGCGAAAGCGUUCUUAUUUACUCCUCUGUUAGUCAUGAGAAAGAGGAAAGCAACUUUCCGUUGGACUUGCAUGGUUUUCAAUGGUCGAAUGGAAGAGAUGGUUUCUUGCUGUUAACUCUCUUCUUUCUCCACAGAAGCUUCCUCCACAGACUUCCAAUUCCCCGUUUUUUCACUGGCGUGAUGGCGAAAGAACCAACUGCUUCGUGGUCGUCUGUCAUUUUAGUUCCAUUCGAACUGAGAAGCUUUUCUGAAGGCUCCUUCAAUCCACCCGGUAGGAUAGAACAAUAGUUGUUCUCUCCUUUCAUGUCAGAGGAUUCUAGGUUCGUAACAUCGGCAUUAUCCUCUGCAAGCAUUUUGUCCAACAGAGAAGUUCGACGGGCCAUACUCUUGUUCUUGGGUGACUCUUGAAUAAUUGUCAUGGUGCCAUUGGUGGCAACGCUGGAGUUUGCAUCUGUUGGAGUAGGGAUGAUCUUAUCAAAAAGAGCAGCAUCUUUUGCUGGAGCCAAAGCUUUCAACUGCUUGCCCAAGUUCAAAAUGGUUUCUUGGCACUCUGCUAAUCUUUCAGAAGCAGCUGCGAUCUCCCAGUUCUGCCACAAAUACUCUUGCAUCAGUUAACAAAGGAUCUGAGUUUCUUGUCCCAAAGAAAAUGUUCCUCGCCUCAAUUACUCUGAACUAACAGCUUUUAAAAGAAUACAAGAUCAUUUAAUGCUGCUCCAGAAUAAAGGGCCCCUAACUCUAUGACAAUUCAUGUUCAUAUCUAGAUCACAGGUUCGACUCCCUCUGGAUAACAUUCUACACUUUUAUUACUUAGGAACGAAGUUCCAGACCAUGAGAAUAGACAUUGAAAAGUGAAGUCUAUUCUCAACAACAUUUUGCAAAAGAGGGAAUGUAAUGAGCCUUCUUAAUGCCAUUUUUAUUCCAAAUCACUUCAUUAAUGUGCAAUGUAAUGAUUCAAAGAUUGCGUGAUUAAAAGGAAAAAGAAGAAAAAAUGUGUAUCCCUGAAAAAAUGCAUGGGACGAUUAGGUAAUGAUGGUGUACUUCUUAUGAGACAGGAUGAAGAGAAACUAUCCAGCCAUCGAAAAGUUCCUCUUAAGCGACUGCUUCACAUCCAGACAAAAGGAUUCGGCAAUGGUAUCUACUUUCAGGAUUUGAGAAAGCAAACAUUGACGGUGACUUACAGUUCGUAGCUGCUUUCCUUCCUGAAUGACAUCAUUUUUCAGACUCUCAUCCUUCUUCAUACUGGAAAUGACAUGGACAAGUCCGUGAGAUUCAGAAAUACAAGUAAUUAGGAAUGUCCAUUACAUACUAUAUUCAAGCAAGGAUAUGAUCAUCGGGGCAAGAAAUCAUAAUUACCUUUCCAGCUGCAAUUGCAAGUCAAGACAUGUGGCCUCCAGUUCAUCACAGCAGCUGCUUUUGUUCUCCAGUUCCACUUCUAGUGGAGAGAACUGCUGAUGAGCCUCAUUUACUUCAACUUUGGCCAUGGCAAGCUGUCUAUCGAGAUCUUCAUAACUCAACUUGUGAUUUACAAUCUGGUCCUCAACCAAACCCUUUGAUUCUUUUAAGCUGUUCCCUUCCAUAUGCACGCUCUCAAUAGUUUCUUUGGAUGCUUCAAGUUGAUUUAUCAAAGAUUUAUUUUCACCAAUAGCAGACUGAAGCUGACCUUCCAAUCCUUCCUUUGCAGAGUCUCUGUUUUCCAGGUUUUCCUCCAAUUUUGUUUCUUCUUCUUUCUGAUCAGAUUGGAGUUCUCCCAGCUGAGCCAUAUUGUUACCACCACUUGCAAAUUUACUAGAGAUACAAAGUUGUUUGAUGGGAUUAUGCAAUUUAUCGGCAUCAGAUAGCUGAUGUAUAAUUCCUGCUUCUACUUCACCUUCACUUCGUGAUUCAUCCCAAUCUAUAUUUUGCAUAAUCUCUUCCCUCAUGCUUGAAACAUCUUGAAGGGAAAAACAAUGGUUCAGAACCCAUUCCAAAGAUGAAGCUAAUUCUUUAAAAAAAUUAGAGAGAUCAGCUUUUUCAUUCAAAAGAUCAUAACAUGUGCGGAGAAAGUGCUCUAAGACAUCAGCAAGUUCAGAAGUUUUCCAUUGAAAAACACGAACCAUGUAGCCUGUGGGUGUUUCUGAACUCUUAUUAGAAGAAAUAUUCCUUUCUUUCUUCAAAGAAAUAUCUGGAUCCUCGUAGUUUUGAUGAGGAAGACUAAUACUCUCCAUAAGCUCAAUUAUUUUAGACAUUGACUUGCUCAAAUCUGGCUUUACCCUCUGAUUGCUCUUUUCCAUUGACAACAAAUCAGGGUGAACAAUUUUAUGAGAUAACCCCAACCUCGAAGAACUAAUAGGAGGCUUAGAUAAGUUAUUCUCAUUGCUACUUGCCCUUUCCUUUGUAUCUCCAAACUUUCUGGGGUUUUGACGGUGCACAUGUGCCAAAGCAAUUCUAACAUGCUCAAGUAUUUCAUCCAGGUGUCUUCCAGUGGAAUGAUGUUGCUCCAGAAUCACUUUCAAUAUCUUUUGAAGCCAUUCAGGGAUGUCAACGAGGAUUGUACCAUAGGCAUUGGCUUCCUGGUCUACCGGACAGAAGCCAGAUUUACCAUUUGUCUCUGGGGAGUGAGCAAGUGCACUAGCUUGCUGAGAAAGCGUGUCAUAAUUUUUUGAUGUAUCAUCUGCAGAGACGAUAGCUAACUUUUCCAUUUCGACAAAGUCGUCCAUUAAGCUGAUGUCAGAAGCUCCAAUUGUUUUGGAAGAUAAUGACCGCCUCUGUUUCUCAUUACGGAAAUUCUCCAACUCUGAAAUUAGAGCUGUUGCCCACGAUUCAGCACAACUUACUUUAUCAUCACUGCCAAUAUCAGAUACUGAUGCCAGAGAUGGUUCAUGUGACAAAUGAAUGGUCCUUGUCACCUCCACACCCUUCUGACCUUGUAGCGGUCCUUCAACCUGUGAAUCAAUCUGCGAUAAUUUGGAGCCCGUGUGAGCAUUCAGGACCCUAGAGAUAUGGAGUUCCCUUUCUUUCUUACUUAGAGCUUCUUUGAGAGCUUUGCUCUCUUCCUCCAUGACAAUUAACUGCUCUGUGAGAAUGCUGAUUCUCGUACUAGGUGUCUCAGGAUAAUUUUCAACGGCGAAGUCAGACAUGGAACCUAUUUGCCCACUAUGUAUUUUCCUCAUCUGGGCUGAAUCCCUUCCAAGCAUGUCAACUUCAUUUUUCAUUUUAGCUACGGCUGCCGGUCCCGGUAACCUUUUUCGAACUAAUAGACGUAACCUCUGACAUUCUGAUUCUAACUUUGCGAUUUUCUUCACACUCUCUAGGUGUUGCUUGUGAGACACAUCAGCUGUCCUACGGUUGAACUCUCUCUCCUCAUUCCGAAUCUCAAGCUCCUUCUCAAGAACACGGACCUCAUAUUUGAGAGAAGCAUUAUCUUUCUCAGUGGAUUCAAGUCUAGCCAUUAGGCUACCAAUAUCUGCCUCAGCCCGCUUUCGCUGUUUAUUUAAGUCUUCAACCAAUUUUUCCUUGGAUGCUAGAGAUUUACUGAGAUGAGUAUUCUCAAUGCCCAUCUUGGCAAGCCUUUUAUUUGUUUCUUCUAAUUUCCCCUCCAAAACUACUUGGGACUUUUCAAACUCCUUUGACGUCUUCAUAACAGUAUCGUGAAUUCUUUUCUCCUGCUCUUCUCUGACAAAAUGCAGUUGCUGCAUACAUUCUUUCAGAGCUGCAUCAAGAUGUGUGAGUCUCUCUUCAGCAGCUAGUCUCUCCUUCAACGAUUCCUCUAGGCUAUUUUUUAGAGAAACCACUUCAGUUUCCAUUUGCUCCCAUCCUAUUCAGAUAAUGAAUUUAACAAUGAGUAGAUUGUAGGUGGAGAGUUAAAAAUGAACAGAAGGAAUAGAAAUAUCCAAGCAGAUAUUCUGUCAUAUAAAAUAGUUGAGAAGGGAAAGGAACUACCUGCAAUAGCUUCUUGGGCCAUCUUUUCAUGUUUCUUUACAAGCUCGUCUUUGGUAUUACAUUCGGAAAGAACAUAAGAAAGCUUAUCAGUCAAAUGUUUCAAUUCUUUCUCCAACUCUGCUUUAUCAGUUGAAGCUGCCUCUACCUGUCAGGUGAAAUUAAUUUUUACGCAUCGAUCAAAGAUAUAUAAUUUACACACAUCUAGCAUAUGCACCCACAAUUGUACCACAGACCUAUACAUGUGUGUGUGUGUGUGAGAGAGAGAGAGAGAGAGAGAGAGAGAGAGAGAGAGAGAGAGGAGGAGCAGGGGGAGCAGCUACUAAGUUUAAGAUUACUGUCUGAGGGCUUCAACAAUUCACAGAGAUCACACUACAAGAAGUUAAUUGUCUAUCUCUGUGUGAAAUUCACUUUCAGAUGCAUGCUAUAUAGCUAUAAGUUUGAUUAUACGCAUCCAUUUUAUUGUUGAGUUAUAUCUGGAAAGUGAUUUCCAGCAUGGUACACACCUAUAUGAAAGAGAUGCUGUAUGUUCUCCUAAGGUUAUAACAUUUUUCCAUUGAAGGAAGACCUUGCACAAUAGAUUAACAGAUCGUACAUGCAAUUUCCUCAAGAUGCGGCUCCUGAAGAAGAACACAACUUUCUGGUCUGUCCUGUACAAGUUCAUUGUCAUUCAUAAACCAAUUGCUUACCCUUUUCCCUUUCAUUUAGAAGCCGGACUUGAAAGUUUAGAGUAAAGCAGCGGGUAAGGAGGUCUUUGUUUAGUGGACAACCAAGCUGUAGUCUUACAAGAGAUGCAGGUCAUUCACUUGAUUAAAUGAUGCACACUAGAAAGCAGUUAAACUUGUAAAUAACCUUAAUGGCGAUAUUAUCAAGCAUUGCCACCCCUUAUCUCAUUAAAAAAUAAGAAUCUGACAACUCAGAUGCAUGUGAUACAGAAUUCUGUAUGCAAACAAACCAAAAAAAUGACAAUGUACCCAGACUUCUAUUUUGUGUAGUUUGGCCAACUGUUUUUUAUUGUAAGUUUCUCACAUCGCGAGGGGCAAGUUACAAAAGAUGGUCUUGACAGUUGCCUCCACUCUGCUUUAAGUACCCAUUAGACAUGAAUACCCCAUCCCUGCCUCCUUAGGAUUGCACCAAGCAAACUUCCGUUUGAAAAAAUGGUCUAUUGCUCAUUAUGUGACUAGCCAUAGGGGGGUGCAAAUAACAUCAUCAGGAAAUUAUAACAAUUACCUGCUGCUCCUCGUUUGCCUUUAGGGGAAGCUCAACUUUAUCAUUUGCAAUGGUCUUCUCUGCAGAUUUCUUUUUCCAAAGCCAUGCUUUAUGAUCCAUCACUUCACAAAAAUGUAUGUCGGAAAGCACAUCAAACAAGACAAGUUACGUGUAAAGGCAAGUGGAAAAAGAAGAAAUUUUUUUGCAUGAAGUCAGAAGCUAUAAGUCAAUUCUAAUCCAGGAAAUACAGCUGAAUCAGACAUAAAGUCUCUAGCUUGUUGUGUGCAACCAUCGACAAUUCACAGCUUCACAUGAAAGUAUAUCAGGGAUCUGUCAAACGAAAUACUUAAAGCGACCACAUAAAAUUAUGCGUCGUAAACAAUGCAUUCCCUAAAAAGAAGAUAGAGAAAAGGCACAGAUGAAUUGCUAAAUACUAAAAUCGCUUCAGAUAAAGUUCAGAACAAUAGGAAAAAAAAGGCUUUUGCAUUUGUGCACUAUAGAUUCUUAUGCAUCAGUUCAUCCUUGAUUGAACAUUAUGGGGCAUUUUAAUAUGUAAAAUACCCUUGUUAUCAAUUGUCAUCAACUGUUAAUUUCAGCGUCUGCCUGCACAUAGGAAUUAAUCAUACAGUAUCGCAUUGGGACACCAUCAUAUCCCACUCUCAAGCAUGUACCUACCGAAGCAAGGGUUGUGAUGGUAAAUCGGUAAAAAAGGCAUCAUAAUGAAACUUUGUACUACAUCAAAGGAGAAAGAAAAAAAAAACUACUUAAAUUGGAAAUGGACCCCCGACAGAUUACAGCAGAACCUCCUUCCCCAUCAGAGAAUUCACGUCGGGUACCAAGCCAGAGCAUCUCGAGUUUUCAUAAUCACGGAACUCCUUAACUCAACAGCAAAGACAUUCCAGCCUAAAAGCUUACCUUGCCAUUGAGGAAGCUAACAAUCGAUGCGGGAUAGAUUAAUGCUCCCUCUCACAUGCAAAAACAAAACGGACGGGAAAUAGAACAGGGAGCCGAAAAUGCAGAAUAAGAUGAGGGAGAACCACAUGUAGAAUUUAACAUUAAUUUGAGCAUGAAGAAGCUGAAAUUUGAAGCCCCACUACACGCACAUUAUGUGUAUCAGUCAAGCCGGGAUUAACCGAUUUGCAGCAAUAAAAGUCUCUGAAUCAGGCACACCGCUGAAUUUUAACACCAGCCUCCGGCCAAACCGUAUGAAUCAAACAUCGAGAAGCAGAACCGAGCGAAGGACGAGUUCCGCCAGAGCUCCAACUUCAAUAGAAAAAUCCCAGCGCCGUGACGAACAAGGUUGACUUUAGACAGCGCCGUAACGGUCGCAUGCAACGACAACCUCAAUCCUAAACGCGACUUCCAAAACCAAAAAAAAAAAAAAAAAGAGAGAACAAGAAAAAGGAAAAAACACAGACAUCGGUCAUCGUCCCGACCGCACCGCGUCGCGAAGCACGGCCUCCGGGCAGCCAAUGCGAGUCCUCUCGCGACGCUCCAAACACUACACAUGACACCGGAGACCGUGCGAGGUCAACGCGAGCAUCUAGAGAGGGAGCUGCGGGAACUUACGGGAUCGAUCAGGAGGCGGCGGAGGCGGCGGCGGCGGCGGUAGGAGGAGCGGGAAGCAUGGAGCUCGGGGGAAGCGAGGAGAAGAAGAAGAGAAGAAGAAGAAGAAGAAGAAGAGAUCGCGAUCCGGAGAAGGAGGAGAAGCCCGGUUCCGAAUUUAAUAACACGUCGCCGUAGGGAGCGGGUGGCGCGAUCUCACCGACAAUCACCGCGAGCGGUUGCAGACAAUCGACUCCACGUCGCCGCCGAGGAGUAGCUGUGGAGUAAGAACUCAACUAAAGCGAAAACCAGAAACUCCGAAAGAGAGAGAGAGAGAGAGAGAGAGAGAGAGAGAGAGGAGGUGACGUGGAGCUGACUGAACUGCAACUAGAGAGAGAGAGGGAAAGUGAGAGACUGAGAGUGAGGGUGAUGGGAGGAUCACAGGAGACGCGAGUACGGCCUCUUUUUGGGACAAUCUGGACAGCGUUCGGGGACCACCGGCGGUCCCGACGGGGCCGCGGUUCCAGCUUUUAGGGUCGAACUGUCCACGUACGGACCGACCAGGCGACGGUGGCCUCUCCGUUCGAGAUUACUGUCUGUGCUCGGCCCGGUUGGCCGGAUUCGAUGUGGGGUCCACAUGUGAAUUUUUCUACGCUUACGAGAAAGUGUCGCCAUUUGCCCCUGGUCCGUAGACACGUGUUUGCUUAGAAGAGUUUCUUAGACUUCGAGAGGUUUAUGAUUAGGAUUGAUAUUGACAUAUUGAUCCAAAAGAAAAAUCUUUGACAAUUAAGAAUGUUAAUGUAAUUUCAAUUAAUUCAUAUUAAAUUUGAUUAAUACCACGAAUGAAUUGUAAAAUUCUAAGUUGGUAUCAUAUGAUAAUAAAAUCACAAAUAUAUUAUAAUUUCAAUUAUACACAGUUGAAAUUUUGAUGAUCAAAAAAUUAAUUUAAAAUAAAUUUAUUACAAAUUAAUCACUUUGUGGUUUUUUGUUAGUAUUAACUGUUAUGGUCAAUGGGCAAUUUGUCUUUGGUAACAACAAAAUAUGAUUAUGGAACUAAAAACAAAUGGCGCGUGGGAUUAACGGUUGUGCAUGCGCGUGCGGGGUGGUCCUUGCGCUGAAGUGGAGUAGUCAAUUCCAACUUGUAAGGGGGAGGUGAGGAGUUCAAAUCCCCACCUUCUCAGGGGGGGAUGAGGGUAGGGAUGCGUAAGUUUCGAGAGUGGGUUGCGACUCCCACGCCCUGCAUGAGGCAGGACACAAGUCUGCGAGUGAGUGUAGAGUAGGAAUAGAGUAGGACUGAAAAAAAAAAAACAAAAAAAAAAAAUGGAAACUUUGUUAAAGUUCUGUUGGGCCUUCUUGUGUUGUUGGUUGGUUGUCUCUCUCUCUCUCUCGAUCGCUAUCGUUCGCUUUUGCUUUGAUCCAACGGACCGGAAGAGCGCGGGCACUUGUCGACGGACCAUGACCUUUCACGGGAGAAAAGGACGGCGACGUUUCGGAGUAGUGUCUGAGCUUGACUGUUGAUGAAAUUAAGCUAUCAUUUUGAUACGAAAAUACAAAAUUUAAGUAGUGGGGCAAAAAAAAAAUUAAAUUUCCGACGGAUGAAUAACGUGCACGUUCGAUGGUUAGUAACCUUACAGUCAACUUAUAUUUAUCUAACAAGAAAUACACGAAAUUGCGCCUUGUAGUAGUGAAAAUAAUAGAAGGUCUUUGGACUGUUUUGGUCACACUAUGAAGGAUAGUCAACUUAUAUUUAUCUAACAAGAAAUACACGAAAUUGCGCCUUGUAGUAGUGAAAAUAAUAGAAGGUCUUUGGUCUGUUUUGAUCACACUCACGAAGGAAAAGACCUUAUGAAAUUGACGAAUUCAAAAUGCGAAUUGCACUUGCAUGGAUAGGUCAAAGCAUUUUUGCUGAAAGAGUAGAUGGUAAUAUAUUUGUAAAGCUUAAUUUAAUCGAACUAUGCUAAUUAAUCUUACAAGACUACAAGUAGACAUUGAAUGGAAUCGAUGAUUGACAUGACAAUAUAUUUCCUGAUAGCUAGAUACAAAUGGAAAAUGAUACGCUUGCGAAUCAUUGAUCUAUGCAUGCUUUCAAUUAUGUGAUGUCUAUAGUCAUUGCAUUUAGGUGGCAUUUGAUGAAGAAUCAAAUUUUGAUUGGUGAGAAACAGAUUGACAAUAAUCAAAUUUUCGCCGAAUGAUGCUGACCUAUGCCGUAAUGAAAAGAGAAUUUCUCAUGAAUCGUAUAUAGACAAGUAGAUUCGUUUAGAUGGAUAGAGGGGGAAGAAAAAAAAUACAAAUAUGUAUAAUGAAGUGUAAAUUCGUCAGUAACUAAAUACUUGUUUUUUUUUUUAGUAACAUGUCACAUUGAUUAAAGGGAGCACUAUGAACUAUAGUUAGUAUAGGGUCCAUCACAAUUUAAGUGCAAUCAAUGGUAGGAUUAGAUCGACCUAUCUAAGUGAAGUCUAAAUCUAUUUAUUUAAGAUAGGAUAAAAAUAAGAUAUCCCAGGAAUCUCAAUUUCAAUUACUAGGGCCGUGAAUGCUCAACUGAGAACACCCCUUUUUGUUCCUCAUAUAUUAAAAUUCAUCUAAAGAAAUUACUAUAUUAAAUAACUUAUUGACAUAUAAAUGCAUAAGUAAAUUAUAUAUAAAAUUUAUCAGAUAACUCAAUAUAUUAACAUAAUAGACACUUGUAGAUAUUGUUAAUGAGUACUCAUUUAUUAACAAUACUUGAUUUGGAAUAAUGCAAUUUCCAAGCAUUAAAUGUGCUUGUCAGGGCAUUCAAAACUGCAAAAUUCCCUUAAUUGGUUGCAAGGUACUCGUUAACAAAAUAAUCUUUGAAAAGGUACCUUCAAACUCGUUAGCAUGAGCCGAUGAAUAAUUACUAAAAAUAAUAAUAGCUCCAAUUCCACCUCUAUUUUUUUCUUUGACACUUUAACUAAACGAGGGAUGCUCACAACUCAUGAUUCUUCUUGUAUUUCAUCCGCUCAUCCUAUCAUUGAGUCCAGCUCAAAAGUUUCCAAUUAGUGACGCCACUUUUAUCAUAAUUAAAUAAAAAGCAUACCCUGAAUUGUUUGUAGUACGGUCCACACUCGACAUUGUGGUCACUGCUAAUUCUUGACCAAUUUGUCCCUAAGAGAAUCAAUAAUUCAACGGAUAGACUGUCAGUGCCAUUCACUUCACGUCACGUGUCGUCGUUCUCUAGUGCCUACCCACUUUGUACCUGUGAAUUAAGAAGACCAAAAAAAACUCGAAAAAGACAAUACCCACUAGAAACUACUAUCGAUUCAUCAAAUAUAAUAAAAAAAAGGCGGCAUGAUCAAAGAAUGGACGCUGAAUCCUUAUUUUUAUUUUUUAAUAUUUUCAAUUUCGAACAUUCUGUUGUAAAGCAUCGCUGCUCAUCGUUCCAUACAAUGUUCAAUUAUUUAUAAAGCUGGGAUGGCUGUCAACCACCCCGAAUUGCAAAAAGAGGACCACCAUUCAACUAAAGAUCUCCCAUAAAUUAGCCUCCUCCUCAUCAUUCCCUUCUCUCUGUUUUAUUCAGUCUGUUGUUUACGAUAUGUCGAUUUGAAUAGAUAGGUCGGUCCAAAAUGGGAGUUAGGAAUGUGCAAGCUUUACUUAUAUUAAUAAUUCGCUGUGGUAAGGUGGCGCACUCGUGAAGCAAUCCCCACACCCCAACUACCGCCCCCGGAAUUAAAUGGAGAACGUGAAAGGUGUCGAGAUGGACGCGAUGAUCGUACACCAAUCAUGAUGUUCGGCGGUCUCUUGUCUGCUUUAAUUCAGUGCGACUUUUGGGUCAGUGACAGCCUCGCUUUAACCUCGCCUUAGUUGAUUGAGAUAGCCUCGUUGCGUCGCUCAAUUAAUAAGGGCUUUUUGUCAAAUGACUGAUGAUGCCACUAAAAAUUUCAAAUCAGUAUCCUCACGACCCAUUCGUCGACAACUAUUUUUCAUUUUACCCAAAAAAAAAAAAAAGUGUCUCGUAUAUAUGAAAAUUAAUUUUUGUCUUGUGAAAAAAACUCAAGUUGGUAUUCCUAACCAAUAUUUGCCCCCUUUAUCCCAUUAAAAGGCAAAUAUGUUAACAUAGGUUGAUUUUCCAUAUUGAAUUCGCCAUUCUUUGCAUUAGAUUUUAUGUGUGCAUUUUAAUGAGAUAUUGAACUUAAAUGCUGAUGGGGUAGAUUUGGGUCGGGAGUACGGAAUUUUUUGCGAGAUGAUAUUAAUAUGUCAAGGGCUAUCAAUUGUCAAAUUGAUUUUCAGAUGAAAAUUAAUUUGGAGUAGUGAUAUAAUAAGGAUAUUGGUUUUGAGAUUUUUUUUUUUCAAGUUAUUUUAAAUGAAUUUUAAAUGUGGAAAAUAUAUUCCCCGAGGAGUUAUUGCUAAUGAGUGCGUUUGACGUGCAGGGCGAUACCAUAAUGGCUAUGCGGGUCAUUGUCACACAACUCAUUUGAUGUGGCCUGACCUGAACAAGCCAACAUAAUCCUAGUAAUUACUUAAAAUUGACGCUUUUUUCUUUUCCUUUUUCUUCUAAAUGGUAAGAUAGAGUUUGGAUUAGUUUUCGUGAAUCUCGAUCAGUCCUUCUCCUCAAGACAUUUUAAGGGUGCCCUCCUUCACAUUGACUUGGUGUUUUCGAGAAUUUACUUCUCAAGUGCUCCCAACAACACCACCAAAAAAGUUAAGCUCAUACCUAAAUUUUGUAAAAACGAUCAUGUUAAUGAGUGCUCGGCAUACUUAAUUUGGGAUAAUUUGAUUUUCAAAGUAUCGAUUUCCAAAAAAAUUGUGGCUUAACAAAUGUCCUUGAGGUGCCCCUAAUAAAUUCCUUUUAAACAAUGCAUGCUGAACAAAAUGUUGAUUGACCGACCAAAUAAAAAAAAAAAAGAACAAAAUGUUGAUUGGACAUAUUCGAGACGAGAAUCGGAGUCCAGACCUCCGACCAGAAUAAACCAGAAGCAAUCAAUUGCACAUUCGAGGCGAUUUCACGACGCGAUAGACAAAGAAAGAAAGGGGGUUAGUUGCAAAAAUUGACAGCAUAAGGGCCAGGUUGUAAUUGACGCUAAGCAUCGUGAUCUAAUUGAAAAAAAGGUAAAAAAAAGUAAGAGAUAUGCAUAGAAUUGGGCUCGCUCCUCGGCCCAUUAUUAUCUUUUCAAGAAGAACAAAUUGGUCUCCGAACGGGAAAAGCCCACGGCCCAUCUGGCAUCCGUCUCCAUCUUCCUCGCUGGGCGAUCCUCUCUCCGGUUCGAACCGCCGCGACUCUCUGGUGUUCGAGCGCCGUCUCCCGGCGGCAAAUCUCGACCUCGCCCGAUCAUCGCCGGCGGCAUUGAUCGUCUUCUCUCCGCAGCGAUGGUGCAGAAGCAGCACCACAAGUCCAACGCCAAGAAACAGCCUCACGUAAGCGAUUUCCUUCGCUACUUAUGGUUGCAAUUUCCAUCUAUUUGGGCACUCGUGACUAUUGCUUGCUCUUCGAUGAGGCGGCGUGUUUUGUCUCCAAAGAAGAAAUUCGAAAUUUUAAUUGCUUCUAUGAUCUGUUUGUUGCGGCGAGGCCUCUGAAUUGAGCUUUGGUGGACGUGCUUUUGGCUAAGUUCCUGGUUGAAGUGUUCGUCGGUGUUUGUUCUCGGAAUCUGAGUGGACGUGAAUGCGGUAUGCGUUGAUGAACAGGUUAAAAAGCAGGGGAAGCAAGCGGAUAACACGCAGUUCCGAGCUCAGCUUGAUGCUCUGGGCCUGAAAAUUGUCCAGGUGACUGCAGAUGGUAAUUGCUUUUUCAGGUCUGUGUUCCUUGUUAGAAAAAGAUCACCGUAUUGUUCAUGAUUUUGUUGAAUGUUUCCAGGGUUUGAUUUGUUUUGUUAGAUAACAGUAUUCCUCUCUGUUUUGGAAGAUUUAUGGUACGCUCAUUGCAUUACCACUCUGUCGUCAGGACACAACACACAGUGCAUUUUAUGGUACACUGGUUCUGGAACACUAUCAUCGACGUACUAGAAAUUCCUCAGCUGAAAAAAUUAUUGCAAUUCGUAUACUGUAUCAUUCUGCUUGAGACACUGUAUCUAAAAAUAUAUAUUGAAGAAGAGCUCUAUUUGUCAGGGAAUGUAGCUCUUUUAACUUAGUCUCGAGGAUAUUAGAUUGACUCUUCCGUUAUCCAACUAAGUAACUUUGUAAAUUUCUAUCACUAUUGUAUUGCUAUUGUACAACGCCUAGAGAAACUAACCAUGUGCCUCAUUCCUGUUUUCAUUCCACAUAUUUGAAUUAUCCAUCCUCCAGGUAAUCUUACAGCCUUGUGUGGAGCUUUUGUUUAUAGAAACACCUUUGCUAUGGUUGGAAUUUUCAUAGUUGUCCACUCUUGUUAAUCAGGGCCCUUGCAGAUCAGUUGGAAGGCAAUGAAGAAGAACAUGGGAAGUACCGUAGUAUGGUUGUUCAGUACAUAUUGGUAUGUGGAGUGCAGAUUUCUCUUUUUCAAACUGUAGGAAUUAUGUUUUGGGGGGGGGGGGUUUACAUGGUGAUGUAGUCCUCAGUGAUCCGAAUCUAAACUUUAUUUGGUGCAUUUUGUUCUUGAACUUUUCUGUAAGUAUUGAUGGAUCUCACACUUACAUAGACACUGAAAUAGCAUGCCUUUGGAAGAAAAAACCAAGUUAAAAUGGGUAUUAUACAUUGAAGCAUACAUUUCUGCUGCCACUGGUUAUUCCUGGUGAUAUUCAGCUCACAGUCACAGUUGCAUAGAGCUAUAACAACACAAGGAUCACCCGAGCAAUUUGACAUUCUUAUUUUACUAGAGAGGAAAACCUUCUGAGUGUUAACCGUGAUUUGGAUGGUGUAUCUUGGCCUAAACUGACAGGUGCAGGAGGAAGCUGGACUUUAUAGUUACCCGCAUUGUUCUAGCCUACAGGAAUGUGCAGUUGCUACUUUAGGGUGCCAUUAUUAUGCAAACCGACAUAUUUUUGGAGGAGAUAUUGAGAAAAUAAAAAUUUAGAGAAUUGAUACUAAAGUAAAAUAAGUCAACUUUUUACCAUGCAUGAUAAAACUUUAAUGUUUUGCAAUGGCACAAAUUGAUAGUCUUGCUUGUUUCAAGUUUCAACAGAAUCCUUUAUUUUCAUUUGUUUUUUCUCAUAGUGAUGUGUUUAAGGAAAUAAAAUCCUCAUCUGAAGAAUGGACCUGAUAUAUGCAUCUAAGAUGGGAAUUGUUAAUGACAGAAAAAUCGUGAAAUGUUUGAACCAUUUAUUGAGGAUGAUGCGCCAUUUGAGGAGUAUUGCAAAACCAUGGACAAUGAUGGCACAUGGGCUGGUCAUAUGGAAUUGCAAGCAGCUUCUCUUGUUACACGGAGUAACAUUUGCAUUCAUCGGGUAAGACUGACAAUGAAGUCAUCAACCAUCACCUAUGUGAAGUUUUGUUGGUUACAGUCUUUUCAUUCCUUCGGGAGAAACNNNNNNNNNNNNNNNNNNNNNNNNNNNNNNNNNNNNNNNNNNNNNNNNNNNNNNNNNNNNNNNNNNNNNNNNNNNNNNNNNNNNNNNNNNNNNNNNNNNNAGAAUUCGAUGACCAUUGAAGAACCCAUGAUUAUUGGUUUCCAGAUUCAUUCUCCACUUAAUCAUAUAACGGCUUCUUCCACAAUAUGGCCCUCCUUUAACUGAGAAUUUAUUCCCCCAUCAUUGUUUAGAUCAAAAGACCACUUAGGAUGUUGUUCUCAUAAUGGUUAUAGCUUGUUCUUUUCUGUCUGGUUAUAAUUUGUUACUCUUUAGACUGAAAAAUUGACUCAUCCGAAGCGCAAUGAUAUCCGGCAUGUCUCGCAAUGUCUAUUGUGGCGAAAGCAUGUGGAAGGACCAUUGAUAGUGAUGUGCAAAAGAUUUUUUCGGAGAUAUAUUGCACCUUUUAGCACGAGGAAAUCCGAUGGGUGCAUAUAAUCCUAAUUCAAAGAAGACUUAAUAUAUUGAACUUGUUACAAAAUUGCUGGCUUUUUGAGUGUUCUAUAUGUCCUUGAUGAAUCUACAUAGCACUAAUUAGUUUUGAUACAUGCUGUGCAUGCAAAUAUCUGUUUGUUGACGCCAAAUGGAACAAUUUAUCACACUCCUUACUUGAUGCAGAACAUGUCACCUCGGUGGUACAUACGCAAUUUUGAUCAGCCUGGUGCUCGUAUGAUCCAUUUGUGAGUUUUCUGAAUAUAGAGACUGAUGCUUUUUUUGCUAAGCAAGUGCUCAAAUACUGGGAUGAGAUUUGGCUCUGUUUGUAUACACUUAAAUAAAUGACCUUUUCUUACGUUUUACUUUCCCUCAAAAGAUUUGAAAAUAAAACAAUGUUUUUAUUUUUUAAGUGAUUAUGAAAAGAUUAUAUAUUUCUCCUGGUCAAGUUUGUUUAUUUUUAAAAGGUUUUAGGUGUUUCGAGUUUCAUAAAAGUCAAAUUGCAAGAGCUGCAAGAUCUUUUUUUUUUUUAAAAACGAAAGCUAUAAGUACAAGUCGUCCAAACAAACCAGCUCAUUACACAAAAGAAGGUACUGCAGCUUGUUCAGGGAGACUGCUGAUUUGUGAAAUUAUUUUAGCAUGCAAGGACAACAUCUCAUAAGUUGCAGAUCCGAGUGUAGUUGCGGUGUUGUUAGAUUUAACGAUGGAAGUUCUUUUGCUAGUUUGGGAGACGUUUUGGUGUGGUUGGAGAGGGAUAAAUUACUGGCUAAGCAUAUGUGGUAGGAGACCAAAAUGUCACUAUAGCUUUUGUUUCUUCGAUAAAUUUUUUUAUUGAAAUUCCCAUUCAUAAUCCUUCAAUGAAUGGCAUCCCUUAAUAUUCUAAGUUAAGAUGGAUUGGAUCUGUCUAGGUAGUAGCCAUCGUGACCUUGGAUUGUCAUGAGGAUCACAAAAUUUAGUGGAUAUAUGAUAUUCCAUACUUUACUAUCUUCGAUAGGUGUCGUCAUGUGAAACAAGUAAGCAUAAAAAAUGUGCGUUGUGCCAUUAUUGUUUUUGUGGAUAGGGAAAAUCUUAUGUUCUUUUUGUACUGAUGGUGUUUCAUUAUUUGAACUUAUAUAUUUUGCUUCGCUUUAUCAGAUCUUAUCAUGAUGAGGAACAUUACAACAGGAUGAGGUUGAAGGAAGACACUGGAGAUGGGCCAGCUAGGCCAAUUACAAUCAAGGUUGCUACUGGAAUUUAAUUCUAAUUUACUUAGUUAGUAGGGAAGUUGGACAAAUUGUGAAUUUAAGUAUGUGAUUUGAUAAUUUCUUUUGCUGAAAGGUCGAUUCUAGUCUCUCAUCAUCAUCUCGCCAAGCAAAAGCUGGGUCAAAGAAGUCUAAAGCAGGAGCUGGUAAGGAUAUUACUGAUGCUGUAUCCAUCAAGCUAGUCAUGGCUGGAAGUGGUUGUGAGAACAUUGAGAAAGUUGAGCAGGUUAUGUCCUCGCUUCUUCUGCUCGCUUGUUUGCAUUAAAUGCUUUCCUCUCAUUUGCUGGGUGUCUAGAAUUAGAAUACAAGACCUUUCUGUGGCUUCUGUGUGACAUGCGAUACUUUUACAGACAUUGCUGCAAAUGUAUGGGGAUGUUGAUGCUGCCAUAGAGUAUUUGAUAGCAGAAAAAGGUAUUGAAGAUUUUUCAGAGGAAGCUGUCCAGUCUCCCUGCAAUGCAGAUGCUUCUCAUGGUAAUGGCUGGUCAGUAUUUAUCUCUCUAGAUUUUCUUUAAUAAUUUAACUUCGCAGUUUCAGAGAUACCAUGUUAAGCUUCACGAGAAGAUUGUUUGGAGUCAUUUUGAUGCAACUGGUAGAAUUAGCGUGCUUUGUCUUGUCAACCAUAGAUUUUUGGGGUAGUCAAACAUGUUACACCCAAAACUAUUUCAUAAUUCUUUGCGGUGUUUAGGUGAUGAUGCCAGUGGAAAUUCUGAGGAACAGAGAGAGGAACCUGUGGAAGAGGCCAAUAAAGAAAAUCCACCUAGCAAUAGCGCUAAACGGACUCAUGAUGAUGGCAGUGCCCAGCAAGAAGACAAGGUUUCCACAAAAGACGACUAUGUUACCUCUUUUACCAUUUUGGUUUUAGCUCAAACGUGAGAACUGUUGGUGGUGCGCUCCUUCAUUUUUAUUUGCUUGUUUUAUCUUAUAAUGCAGAAAAUUCCAAGAAACAAGAAUUGUCCAUGUGGUUCAAAAAAGAAAUACAAGUCCUGUUGCGGGUCAGGGACAGGGAAAGUCUCUGCAAUUUCCAAGCAUUUCUCAUUCUCUCAGUGCUUUAUAUGUCAAGUUAUAGUUUAAGCUUGUCUUUUGUUGAAGUACCUUUCCUGUUUCCGUGUGAUUCGAGUUCAUAUGUAUCUUGAAAUUAUGGCUUAUGUAUCCAAAAUUGUAUUGUACUUAACUUCAAGUCUGGACUAUUUUCUCACUCCUAUGCUUUGUCGAAUAAUGGGUUCACUUUGGGAAAAUGUUCAUACAUGGGUAAUAUAAAUUUGUACUUACAAGAACAAAGACAGCACUGAAGAAUUCUCCUUUUUUAUGUGUAAACGUUGUUUUGCAGUAAUCAAGCUCUUGAAUCCAGAAAAGGUAGAAAGGAAAAGAAGCGAGGCAAGAGAGGGUCUGACACAUCUGCACUUUCUAGCGGAUCUGAUGGAGGGCCACCUGAUAUGGGGGCUCUUUGUAUCUGAUCUUUUGUUAAAGUAUGUGCGCCAUCAUCUAUUGAAUUUCAGAUAUCAGUACGCUGUCUUUCAAAUAUUUGAUUAGACACAAAUUUUUUUCUACUUCCAUUAGCAUGAAUUCAAUGCAUGCAUCUCUUUUUUGAUCUUUGGGAUAAGUGCACUUUCUAGUUUUCUACCUGUUGCCAACUUUAGAAAAAUCUAUAGGUACAAAAUUUUCAAUGGUGUUAUUUUCCUUGGAUAGUUGGAGAUUCUUUGCACACAUAACUGUUGUGCAUGCAUAUAACACCUACCCUCAUAACUGUUGUGCAUGCAUAUAACACCUACCCUGGUAGAUUUGUUGGCAUUGGCAUAGGUGAGUUUGGUGAGAAGUCCAAGGGGGAAGGAGAUAAGGAAAUUCAGUUAUUGCUGUCCCUGGGCUAAACCUUUUCGUGAAUAUAUUAGAGACAUCACAUGAAUUUGACAAGUGAUGGUUUAAUUUCUAAAUUCCCUUCCAAAGUGAUGGUUUUGUUGUAACCGUAGUUUGGGGUUCCCAUGAAGAUGUCAUUCCUUUUCCUUUUAUUUCUUUGACAAAAAAGGCACUAAGCAUUUAUGCACACUUCUUCUUGUAAUUGAUAAAAGACGGUAAGAUGCAAAAUGCACUCAGGCUCCAUCUAUAAGGAACCAAAUGCAAUCCAUCUGCAGUUGGAGAUGACACAGAUAGUACAUAUGCUAGUUUUUCCAUUCAAAUUGGUGCAGAUUUCUAAAAUUAAACAACUUUGACUGACAAUUAUCUAUGGUUAUUUUGGCAAAAAAGUAGUAUAGAUCUUUUGUUGGUUUUCAUUGGUUGAUAUAUCAUCAUAACAUCAUUUAGACGAAUUAAGUCUCCAAAGCUCCUAAGUGAUGGAUAGUGUGUAAAGACCAUGAGCACCUUCGAAGUUUUAGUAGUAGAUUUUCCAAUAAUCCCACAAUAAUCCUGAAUCUUUUUUUAUUGUUUUUGUGGAAUUGCGUUGUGUCAGAUGGGGCUUGUCCAGUUCUCAAGAAUCACAACAAUCUUGCGGCUUCGUCAUUGCAUCCAUGAGGGAGUGGGGAGAGAAUCGAAUUGUGAGCAGGAAACUGAUGCUGAAAGAAGUCUAUAACUUGAGCUUCUUCCCGGAGCAACUUAUGGGGUUACUCAUUAUUUUUUCUUGUCUUGCCUAAAUAUAAAUCUUUUCAUUCUCUAUUAGCUUGAACAUAGAGCACAUGUUAGUCUGAGGUUAUCUUCUGUUUUUAAAGGCUGGUACCUUACUAGUCUUGUAUACUACCUUGUCAUACCUUGUCCCUAAAUGGGGAAAUAAAAGAUCCUUACUUCAUCUAAUAGCUUAGUUGAACCUUGCAUGGUGAUGCUGCUCUAAUAACACAGGGAGUUAAGCGAUUUUUAAGCUAAUAAAACUCUCUGUAGAUUCAUUAUUUCCAUGUAAGAAGUCAAAAACACAUGAUACUUUGCAAGAUUGAAAGGUGUGCCUUGUGAGGCCCAUUUUCGUUCAAAUGGUGAUCCAACAUAUGGGAGGGCAUAAUUGCCCACUGAUAUGCGAAAAUGUAGACAUCCCGAGAACUUUAAUGCGAUAAAAGCGUCUUCGGCUUGGCCUAUGCCGUGAUGUUCCGUGGAUGUCUAGGCCGGUAAGUGGACUUUUCCCAUCGUGCGCCAUUGUUGAACGAGAUUGGUCAACCUGCUUCUUCAUUGUCCUCGAAAAGGUGGUCUGUAAAUGCCAGGAGGUCACACCUAGGUCCCUUCCAUGAGAUGAGUGUACCUAGCUAUUAAUUGUCUAGUAUAAUACACUUUUUUUAUUAAAUGCUUAGAUAAGGUUCUGAUUUAAAAUAAUCGAUAUAGUUGUUAGCCAUGUGUUUAAGGUCUAUCUUAUGGUUAUGUUCAACCAUUUUGUAUUAUGAAUUGAGAAUUUUAAUGGGAAAUACAUUAUGCAUUGUUUUCUAAUCUUUGGUCCAUUGAUUUUGUAGAUUGGCUCCGCUGGGAUAAUUCCAAUCAAAGUAUAGAAGGGCCAGUACUAGAUUAAGGAUAGUUUACUCGGAAAACACACACACGCACAUAUAUCGAAGAGUGCUGAUCAAGUUUAGAAUUACCACAAAAAAGAGGUGUGUCAGUACAAGGGACAAGGUCAUGAUGUUAUAAUACGCAGUAGGGAUGUGUGGUGUGGCAAGCAAAUCAAUUUCAAAAUUUAAGCGUCAAGUAAGAGGAUCGGCAUAUUAUACGAUCGAUUUCAUUGGCUGGUCACAUAACGUUAGCCGUUAGCGAUUUGACUGCUGAAUAAAAUAAUUUUCUCAAACAAGGAGGUGGCCCCUUGAAAAGUUUUCAAAUGCUAGAAUUCCCAAGCUUGUGAGAACUUUAGGAAACCUACUCCCUUUGAAGAAAUGCUAUUUAUCAUCACCUAAAGUUGCAAAGACUCUAGCAAGUACCUACAAUCAAAUUGCUAACCUCAAAAGAAAGAUACUAACUACAGAUGUAGUGAUGAUAAUGAGGACUUCACGGGACUUAUGAUUGUCGGAAAAAUACUUAGGAUGUACAAAUAUUAUCAUUUACAAAUAAAGAGGAGAAAUAUUGUAUCAAUGCAGAAUUGAAUAAUGAUGAUGCUCACAAAUUAGCAAUAACGAAAGGGAUGUUCGUGAUGCAAAGUUAUACUGCAAAGUUAAUAACCAUAUUUUGAGGAUUUUGGGCGAUUUACACUUGUUCUAGAAUAUACCGAGAAAUUUCGUUAUUUAUUACGACCAUUUGAUGAAAUUUACUUUAUUAAUUUAAGUUUACUAACGACUAACAUUAACAUAAGGGCAUAACAAAGAUUAUUUUUUGGCAAUGAGCAAAGUUUAACAUACUGCUAUAACAGGGAUAUGUAUAGAAACACAUUAGUUCCACAAACCUUUUUGCUUCAUCUAUAAACUGCAUAAAAUAAAAAAAUUGAAAUUACCCAAGUAAAGGGAAACAAUGCUCGGGGAAAUGAAGUAUGAAUACAAUUUGUUUAUAAAUAAGUACUCCAUAAGUCGUAAAACUUGUUGCAAAAGUAUAAUCAAGUUUCAAGACUUUCAAAAACUGAAAUGUAGUCUUAAAAUCUAUCCAAUCAAUACAAUUAAGUAUUUUUGUUAGCUCCACCAAAUUUGAGUAACGAAAAAUAUUGACAUGCCAUUUAUUGAUAUGAUUUGACUACAUGUGCUAAAGAUAUAUGAGCCAAACAUGAAGCCAUAUUCUACUGAAUUGAAGUAUCUUGUGUGCCAAGUCACCCUCUCUCCAUUUUCCAUACCUGACAUUAGAGAUUGAAGUGAAUGCUAUCUCUUACUUCAACAAACAACAUAAAUGUCCCGAGGUAUCAGGAAACACAACCCCCAGUUUGUUGCGCUGGCUUAAUGAUUGCUUCUUUCAGAGCUACAUGCUAGCACUAUUACACUCCCCUCUUCCCAUUUAAUCUUUUUCGCUGUGAUUGAAGUACGUGUACCAAAGUCUCAUUCUCUUCAUUUCUCUUCGCUCCAUUUCCAUUGGCUCCAUUUGGCGUGGGAGAAAUUUGUCGUAGAAUUCUUUGAGCUUCAUUUCAUAGAUUGAAGCUGGAUUCACUAAUUGCUUGUCUUUCAAAUCAUCAUCCAUUUGCUUGCAUCUUAGCACAUAUCCCAAUUUUUUUACAGUUCCACCCGAUACACUGAGUGUGAGGCUAAAUUGUAAGCAAUCCUCAUCAAACUCAAGAAAAUCAAUAGCUCCCUCCAACACUCCCCAUAGCACAUUCGGUUUGAGAUAUUGAAUCCACAUGUGAUUCGAAUUAAAUGAACCGAGAGAUCCCGAUAGCCCAUUCCGUCUUUGGCCAUUAAGAUGGGGCACGAUGUCGAAAAAUAUUUCAUUUUCUCCAUCUUCCACAGUGAAAACAACACAGAGAGCUAAUCCCAAGAACUUAUCAUAAAAGUCUUGUGAAAUCAUGAAAGAUAUGGUACUGCCUUCAACAAUGAUGAACUCCUCUGGCAUAUCUCCUCCGGGAAGAAUAUCCACGUAGUGACGAGCAAUUUCAGAAUAGCGCCACUUCUGUUAUACCGGUAAAUUGUUAGACGUACUAAAGUUGAUAAUUAGUUAAAAUAGAAGAGUUUGAUUCGAGAAUUUUUCUGGUAAUUUAACCAAAGCUAGAGUUUUCGUAAUAAUUGAACAUAUCGAUCUUUCCUUGCCUUAUAUGUAAUACUCAUGAAGUCAUUCACUUCACUUGCGAGUAUUGUCAUAGCACAUGGUGCAGAAUCACUCUACGUUAGAUUUGCUUAUUUGUAUAGAAUUUUUAGUUUCUGCGUUAUACAAACACAGUGCGCCUGACGUACACUCCAACAACAAAUCAACACAUGCACUUAUGAAUCCGCGCGUAUCCCCGGGGGCUGGAGAGAGAGAGAGAGAGAGAGAGAGAGAGAGAGAGAGAGACCUCAACUGAUAAGUCAGGCCAUGACAUGUCACCCAAGAUUUCCUCGUCUGUUUCUCUUUCACUUGGAUAGUUUGCCUCUGACCUUGAUUGGUGAUUAUCUUCAUUGAGGGACAAUUGCUAUUACAUAUAGGUGCAAAAUCACAAUAUAUGAGCUUGUUUUGUUCACUAGCAUUUGCAGUUUUGCAUUAUCAAAACACAAAGCACCCAUAUCAAUCACACACACACACCACAAUCGCGGAAGGGGGGGAAGGGAGGGAGGGAGAGACCUUUUCCAGAUCUGAGAGAUCGGCCGAAAUUUCUUCCUCUCUGGUCGUUUCUUCAUCGGGAUGCCCAAUCUCAUAUAACAAACUUGGAUCUAACAACUCGUCAUCUUGAUUCAAAGCCUCCAAAUCAUCCUCUAGUGGCUUGCAUAUUAAUCGAAAUCCGCACUUUUUUACAAUUACACCAUCCAGUGCUUUAAUGCCUAACUGGAAAGAACUUGAGUCAUUUCGACCCAAAGGGUUUACUUCCCAUAGGUCCACUGCAUGCAAUUGUAAUAACACAUGUUCUGAAUGCAAUAUGGGUAACUCCCAUGGCCCGAAGGACUUACGUUGGCAUCUGCCAUUAGUGUAAAAACUGAGCUCAAUACCCAUGUGUUUCUCUUCCUUUACUCGAAGUACAACACAUAUAGCUAAUUUUAGGAACUUCUCAUACAAAUCCUUAGAAGCUGUGAAAGAUAUAUAACCCUCCUUAUUUGGGAGUAACCAUUGCGGCAUCUCUCUUCCAGGUAGAAUAGUUUCCUGAUGCAAUCUAGCCCACCGUGAUAUGUAAUUCAAUUCGCAAGAUCGCUGUCGUAAAAGUAAAUUGUUAAGAUAUUAUUUCGAAUUUGACACUCGAAAAAGAGGAGUUUCAAUUAGUCAAAUUUAGCUACAAUUAGCUCUCCGUAUUAAUCAGAGAGAGGGGGGGGGGUGAGGGAGGGAGGGAGAGUCUAACCUCACUACGGACCGAAUCACGAAAUAAUCGGUUAACGUACAAUAUGUCGGAGGGAAUUUUGCUUAGAGACUCACAAUUCCCUGCCUGCAAAUUAAGCAAUUGCUCCGAAACCUUGCCAAUCUCUUGUAGCUGUCGGCAUUCCGAAACAUCCAAUUGAAGUAAAUUAUGUAGGUGCCCGCAUGGUGGAAUCUUAGCAAAAUUAUUUUUGGACAAAUUCAAAUUUUGCAAGGAUGAAAAACAUGAAUGAUUCUCUAGGAACUCUACUUCUUGUAGAUUGCAUCGCCCAAGGCAUAAGGACCGUAGCUUGGGAAAUCCUAUCUUGCCACGCAAAUCACUCGAAUCCUCCUCCUUUGGAAACUUGAUUAGUUUUGAACAACCAUCAAGCUGAAAGCUCUCAAGAUUUGGCAACUUGUAAAUGCUAGAUGGGAGGUUUGCCAAUUUCUUGCAAUUAAAUAAACCCAAAAUCUUUAAAGAGACAAGAUUUUCUAUGGAUGCAGGAAGUUCCUCAAUUGAAGUCUCAUGUAAAAAAAGUUGUAGCAAGCAUUUCAUUUUAUCCGGAAUAUCAGGGAAUCUUUGCAACUUUGAGCAAUCACUAAGAUCGAGCCAUUCAAGAUUCUUGGGUUGGAGUAUAUUGGGGAGAUGAUGAAGGUUAGAGCAACCUUUUAGAUCCAACCUCCUCAACUUGGUGUGAUAUGCAAUUGAUUCGUGAGCACACUCCAAAUUUUCGCACCAACUGAGAUCCAAUUCCUCGAGAUUUGGACAAAAAUCGAGGUUCGGCAUAUGAACCAUGGACAGACAUUUACUGAAGUAAAGGAACUUCAAAUUUUUUAAGUCCUGCAAGAAAUAUCCACAUGGAAAGAAAAUGAAGAUAAAAUGAAAUAAUGGGGGGAGGGGGGGUGAGGGAGGGAGGGAGAGUCUAACCUCACUACGGACCGAAUCACGAAAUAAUUGGUUAACGUACAAUAUGUCGGAGGGAAUUUUGCUUAGAGACUCACAAUUCCCUGCUUGCAAAUUAAGCAAUUGCUCCGAAACCUUGCCAAUCUCUUGUAGCGUCGGCAUUCCGAAACAUCCAAUUGAAGUAAAUUAUGUAGGUGCCCGCAUGGUGGAAUCUUAGCAAAAUUAUUUUUGGACAAAUUCAAAUUUUGCAAGGAUGAAAAACAUGAAUGAUUCUCUAGGAACUCUACUUCUUGUAGAUUGCAUCGCCCUAGGCAUAAGGACCGUAGCUUGGGAAAUCCUAUCUUGCCACGCAAAUCACUCAAAUCCUCCUCCUCCUUUGGAAACUUGAUUAGUUUUGAACAACCAUCAAGCUGAAAGCUCUCAAGAUUUGGCAACUUGUAAAUGCUAGAUGGGAGGUUUGCCAAUUUCUUGCAAUUAAAUAAACCCAAAAUCUUUAAAGAGACAAGAUUUUCUAUGGAUGCAGGAAGUUCCUCAAUUGAAGUCUCAUGUAAAAAAGGUUGUAGCAAGCAUUUCAUUUUAUCCGGAAUAUCAGGGAAUCUUUGCAACUUUAAGCAAUCACUAAGAUCGAGCCAUUCAAGAUUCUUGGGUUGGAAUAUAUCGGGGAGAUGAUGAAGGUUAGAGCAACCUUUUAGAUCCAACCUCCUCAACUUGGUGUGAUAUGCAAUUGAUUCGUGAGCACGCUCCAAAUUUUCGCACCAACUGAGAUCCAAUUCCUCGAGAUUUGGACAAAAAUCAAGGUUCGGCAUAUGAACCAUGGACAAACAUUUACUGAAGUAAAGGAACUUCAAAUUUUUAAAGUCCUGCAAGAAAUAUCCACAUGUAAAGAAAAUGAAGAUAAAAAUAUUUAAUGAAAAACACUUGAUCAUCAUUCAAGACCCAUGUGAUCGGAAAUUAGUUGAUCAUAUGAUGUAUACAGAGCACUCCCACUCCCUUUUUAAAUAUGAGUUUAUUAAGCGAUCCUUGGCCAAAAGAGAAGACUAAAAAAAGAAUAAUACUCAUAAUUUCACCACACACUAAGCUCUAUCAAGCGACACACAAGAGAAAUCAUUCCAAUUCUAAGUAGCUUGGCCACUUCUACUAUGUAUAUGUUUAGAAUCAAUAAAUGUAAUUAAGAGAGAGAGAGUGACCUCAAGUGGGAGCACAUGAGCCAUGGUCAAAUCCUUUGCCAGCUAAUUCAUGACAUGAAUUUAAGCUAACAUAGGUGGCACUUGAUGGACCUACAAUCUUAUGCAGAGAUAUGCAAACCUGCCAUAAUGGCGGUGGAAGCUUGGGAAUCUCUCGUGUCAUCACUUAUUAGGUCAUGGUGCUUGGUUGAUCGAUUUUUGAGAAUCACACAUUUUGUUGAAUGUAGUAAACCCUUGAUCCUUUAUAUGUUGCUAAACUUUAUAUUAGUGAAAUUGUGCCCCCACAAGGUAUUCCAAAUACAACUCCUUACGUUGUGUAGUGAAUGCAUCUUUUAAGUUUUGGAUCUUACACCAUUAUCCACCACUAAUAUGGAGAAAGAGCUAAGACAAUCACUAAGUUACGUGAGGAAGUGAGGAAGAGAAGUCCGAAGCAAAAUGUCAAAUAUCCCAAUCAAGCCAAAAAAAAAAAAAAAAGAAAAGCCUGCUGUUUUUAAAGAAGGUGAUCUUGUCUGGAUUCAUUUGAGAAGAGCGCUUUCCACCUAGUCGUGGUGCUACGGAUGGUUCUUUUCUAGUUUUGGAACACAUCGAUAAUAAUACCUGCAAAAGUGAGCUUUGUGGAGGGAAUGGUGUUUCCACUAGUUUCAAUGUUGCUAAUCUAUCACUAUGAAGUUGGCCUCGAGGAGGAGUCUUUUCAAGAUUUCAAGAUUCUCUCUUGUGAAUAGAAUAAUAGGGAUAAAAUAUAUUUCUUGAUCAGUGAGCCUGUUUUAUACUUUUUAGGAUUGUUUUGGUCUCGAUUACAAUGUGAUAAUAUUGUAGCUUAUUAGAAUUUUGUAUUUCGGGUCCAUUUUUCUUUACUUGGAGGUUACUCGAAGGUACGUUAGGCUCCUACUUAUCUCGGUGUCUCAUGGUAAACACAAUUAAUUUAUUAAAUGAAGUUUCAUUCUAUCUUUUCUUUGUCUUUCUCUCUGUCCUUUUAGGGGAUUCAUGAGUGAACGAGAGAGUGCUGCAUCCUUGGACUGGCCUACAAAGGUGGUGAUUUGGCCAAGGGAGACCUAGUGUAUGUUGUCUCUUUCCUAUCCUCCAUAGUGGGGUUUUUCCACUUCAUUUAGAUUGAAAAACCCCUUCUAUUUAUUUGUUCGCUCAACACAUUCCGGCGUCAAUGUGGCCGACAAGCAUGAUAGCAUAAUUGAAAGUCCACGAAGUUUGUCUCUUUUGAGGCAUAGGAAGAGAAAACUGAAAGAGUAUGCACAAGAUUUGAAAAAAAAUUGAUAUCUAAAAAAUUGAGCAGAACCACUAAAUUAGAAAUAUUUAAUGGAAAGAAAUUGUUGAUAAACACACAAUACACAAACAUAGAAUGAAUGUAGGAUAUUUCAAGAUUAAAAUUUGCAAUAAGAAAUUUGUUAUGGGAUAGAAAAGAUUAAAAUUUAGAUUAUGAAACAUGUGAGAGAUAAAAUAGAUUAAUAGUUUACGCACCUCUCAAUGAAUACAAUAUUUGUAAAAUAAGUCAUUGAGACAUUUUGGGGAAGGAAUUAAAUUGAAAUCCUGCGGAAGGUCACCUUUACUUUGUACAGUAGUAUUUAUAUGAAUAUAAAUAUAAUACAUAUAUACAUAACUUAAGAUUAGAUUUAAGUUACAUUAUAUUUAAAUUAGCAAAGCGAGCCCCUUACUUCUCUUUAGAAAGCCUUAUUAGUCAUGCGUGAAAGCCAUUACUCGCUACCAGCGUCCUAGAUGUGGUGCGCUAGUGCGUCUAUAAAGUAAGACUCUUCCAUGGAAUUGUACUCCACAAGCUUUUAUUUAAAAUAGCGGGAGAAGGAAUGGCUGGUCCAUCUAUCUCCCCUGAGAGUUGCUUUUCGUCCUGUGAUUUCUCACUUAGGAAUAAAUGGAGUAAGGGUGCAACCGAAUGGCAUGAUUGAAAGGAAAGGAGGGGAACGUGUUACAUACUUGGAAGGAGAAGGAGAACUCCCAGUUAUGUUUGAAAAUGAAUAUUUUAUCCGUAAAGAUGAAGAUAACUUUCUUGGAGUUCCGCUUAUUCCUCCUCCUAAAAAUAAAGAAGUACUUGCCAGAAAUCUCUGGUGAGGUCGGAGAACAAUAAAAAUAGACAGGACNNNNNNNNNNNNNNNNNNNNNNNNNNNNNNNNNNNNNNNNNNNNNNNNNNNNNNNNNNNNNNNNNNNNNNNNNNNNNNNNNNNNNNNNNNNNNNNNNNNNNNNNNNNNNNNNNNNNNNNNNNNNNNNNNNNNNNNNNNNNNNNNNNNNNNNNNNNNNNNNNNNNNNNNNNNNNNNNNNNNNNNNNNNNNNNNNNNNNNNNNNNNNNNNNNNNNNNNNNNNNNNNNNNNNNNNNNNNNNNNNNNNNNNNNNNNNNNNNNNNNNNNNNNNNNNNNNNNNNNNNNNNNNNNNNNNNNNNNNNNNNNNNNNNNNNNNNNNNNNNNNNNNNNNNNNNNNNNNNNNNNNNNNNNNNNNNNNNNNNNNNNNNNNNNNNNNNNNAGACGGUUAUCUCUUGUAGUAAUGAUGAUUCUACUUCCUUUACCAAACCAUUCACGCUUUCCAGCUAAAGCAUUUAACUGUUUUACGUCAAUGACAUCAUCAAGAACAAGGAGAACUCUUUUGCAGCAAAGCCUAUCUUGGAUCAAAUUGAUACCUCCAUCAACACUAAAAACUGUUAAUUCUUUUCCUAGUAAUAACUCGGACAACAAUUUUUCUUGCAAAUGAACUAAAUCCUUGGAAUCUUUUGAAGUUUCCCGAACAUUUGCCAAAAAACAUGAAGCCUCAAAUCGUCUAAAAAUAUCAUUGUAAAGGGCUUUAGCUAAUGUUGUUUUUCCUACACCUCCCUGUCCCCAUAACCCUAUCAUGAGAACAUCAUCUUCAGACUCAAGAUUUAACAUUGAUUCCAACUGUACAACAUGUGGACGUAAUCCAACCGGAUGCUUGGCAACAUAUAAGGGCGUUCGGUCUAGCUGCAUAGAGAUCUUCCGCACAAUUCUCUUUAUAGAAUCCGCUUCAUCUCUGAUAAAAUCGGGAAAGUACUUGACACAUUAAUUUCAAAGAUAAUUAACUUUCAUGGGAAAAAAAUAGAAGAUGUAUUCAGCAUAUAAAAAACAACAACAAAGCAGUGUAACAUCAAUCACUACUUGGUACUUACUUAUCGUUCAAGUCCCACCCGGAUAAGCUACCAGCAUCAUAGAGAGCUUUCUUCCAUCUCUUCACUUUCUCUGAAUCUCUUCCAAACUUGCUUUCAUGCUUAACCAGAGCUUCUUGGUAGCUCCCUCUUGGUGUUCUCACUUCUUUGGGUUCCACUUUGUAAAACACUGGAAACACUGUGAGUCCUCUUUGCUCCUUGCACUCCAUGAUUUUCUCCACCUCUUCCAAACACCACGGUGAGGAAGCAUAGUCCUUGGAGAAAACGAUGAUUGCAAUGCGUGAGUCCUCAAUCGCCUUAACAAGUGCCGGUGUUAUUUGUUCGCCUUUCUGAAGCUCCUCGCUAUCAACGUAAGUGUAGAUUCCUUUCUGGGCAAGCGCCGUAUAGAGAUGACCGAGAAAGUUGUUUCGAACGUCAGUGCCUCUGAAACUCAGGAAGACGUCAUAAUUCCCUUUCAGAUCUGAAGAAGCAGCCAUUAGAGGAGAUGAAGUUUGAUGUGCUUCCUCAGAAUGCUUAGUGUCUGGUCUGGUUGCAGCUCUAUCUCUCAUGUGGAUAUUACUUUGUACUAAUAAAGAAAUAGAAACGAAAAUCAAGAUCAUUUCUGACACUCUGAGUCGAUAAGCAUAUACUCCACCAACUAAUUUAACAGAAAGCAGCAUUUUGCAUAAGGUGCACGGAACCAUCCUAUAUAGGUGCUUCUUGACUUGACUUGCCUUCUCCAUUAAUAAAAGAAAUAGAAAAGAAAACUAGCAACACUCCCAUGCUCCUGGUGCUAAUAUACAUGAGUCAGUCGCAGAACACCGCCUGUUGGAAUAUUAUUUAUAAUGAACAAUCUGACCUUUUUCUUUCACGAGGUAUUCUACAAAAGCAAAUCCCAAAAUAAAUUUCCCUCACUUUUCAAACUAAAAUUUUCCAUACCAUAUCUUGCAUUGAACGGAACAAAUUCGAAUCUGUUCAGGCAUUUCUUCAAACACGUAAUGGGCAGCGAGUUGGAGAGCGAAUAUGGAUCUAUUCGGAGCUCGAGCUCACACUUAAACUCGAGAAAUCAGCGAGCAACGUUGAAACUUAAGAAAAACCGACUCAUUCAGAUCCGACGAGACUGAGGACUAAAGAAAUCGAGCUUCUUUUGCUCUUUUAAAAUCAAGCAGGACGAGGCAAAAAAGAAAAAAAGAAAAAGAAAAAGAAGGAACGAGAACUCAAUCGUGGGGGCCCUACCUGGCUUGGAUUUCGUGGUCAUCGUCGGCGGCGAAGGUUGAGAAUAGCGACUCCAAACUCGUGUCAGGCUUCAGUCGACUCCACCGAGGUCAGGGACGGCGACGACGAAUGGCAGCGGGCGGACGAUGAUCUGGAGGUGGCGGACGACGUAGAUCGGCUGUGGCUCUGAGGUUUUGUGUGGGGGCUUCAAUGGCAACCGUUCACGUAGUAGAGAAAGACCAAGAUGCUUUUUUUUUUCUUCCCUUUUUUCGUGAGAGUAAAGAAGUAGGUGACAGUGAAGGAAGGAGUGAGGUAGGAAUCCGGGAAUGGGAUGCGAGAGCAGUCGCCGGCGGGAGG
rnacentral:lncRNA from 1 species